rnacentral:lncRNA from 1 species
AAGGCAUCGCUUGGAGAGGAUGGCUCCACAAGGUGUUCAUUCUGGACUUCGUGUUCGCUAGCCAGUUUCUCCUCCUUCAGCCUCUACGGACACCAGACCAUCGAAAAACACUCCAAAGAAGCAGGGCACCAUAAAGUCAAGAAGAUGGGAUCACAAUCAAAAUAGGUAGCUUCUUCAAUCACCUGAUAAAUCAAAAAAGGACCUGCAUCGCCAUUUGCAGUUCAGAAUGUGUAUAGCAAAGGCUAUUAUUAAGCUAAAACUAGUCAUCAACAUCUAACUAAACGUGACUGCCAAAUGAAGUAAAAUGAAGACUAUAUAACCUGUUUUAAUCUGAAAACUGAAGAGAAGGCUGCAUAACCUCUUGAGCGCCCGUAUUUAUCAACUCAAACAAGACUGAAAAAGGGACUCAGGCAAGAAUUUUUCAGAGAGAGAGAGAGAGAGAGAGAGAGAGAGAGAGAGAGAGAGAGAGAGAGAGAGAGACUCAUGUAGGUGGAUGCCACACGAUCCAACAAUCCUUACCUGCAUCUGAAGACCAGUCCUUCCAAAUUAUCCAUAUAAUAAACGCCAAGCAAGAAAAAUCAUACCACCCGUACCCAACAGAACCUGCACAGCAGAAACAGGCAAACCUAGUCGAUGCCAGAGGUAAUUCAAUUUAACUCUAGAUCCGAAUGAUAUCAAGCCAUCUACUUGCAACAUUAAGGCUGGGAGACACUAUAAGCCCAGUCUACGCACUAUGACAUCCUUUGUGAUUUUCUUCUCAAUGACUUCGGUGUUUCUACAACUAUACAUAUAUCAGGCAUUAGGAAAAACUAAAUCAAAUGUACACUUUUAUGUGAGUAAAAGAACACCCCAAGUGUCAAAACUUGAAACAAUGGGAUAUUUAAAUAUCAAAAGUUAGAAAGUGACACUUAAGUGUCACUUUUAAAAAAAAAUUAGACACUUAAGUGCCACAUCCGGUGAACCCCGCUGGAAAUCUUACGUGAUAAUUUUUUAUUAAUUUUGCUCACUUACGUCGCUUGCUGGAAGGUUGACUCAGCAAAGAAACACAAAAACGAUGUCAUUUUCGCACUUAAAGAAUUUUAAUAUAAAAAUUAAUUAAAUCAAAUUUAAAACCCAAUAUAUAUAUAAGAAGAAGGAAGAUGAAUAGCAGCCGGUAGCUAAGGGCUCAGCACUUGCCGUCACCACCUCCCCAUUGUUGCGGGGAAGGUGGGGGGAGGGUCGGUCGAGGUUGCCGAGCCCUGGCCGCCUGCUGCUGUUCAUCUUCCUCCUUCCUUUUUUUCUUAAUUUGGUUUUUAAUUUAAUUUAAUUAAUUUUUAUAUUAAUUAUUUACCUAUGUUAGCAGCAAAACGACGUCGUUUUGGCACUAAUCUAAUCACGUUAGCGUGCAAAAUGACGUUGUUUUGCACUUGGCUUGUCGAAAAUUCGUCACAUUAGCGUUUUGGCCGGAUUUUUUUGCCAUUGGCACUUAACUAAUCCAUUUUACUUCGAUUGUGGCAUUUAAAUAUCACUUUCCUAACUUUUAGCACUUAAAUAUUCCCUUGUGCAAAAUUUUUGUACUUUAGAUAUGUCGGACUCCUUUUAUGUGCAUCAUAAAACGAUGAUGAAGUAAAAAUUACGUCUACUUCAAUUGAUAUGAAACUGGUAGAUAACCAGAAAAACUAUAAGCUCUGGCUAGGUACUUAUUAUAUAUAAUCAUUGCAAUAUACUUGUUGGUCUAUGUGAAGAUGUUAAUAUACUUUCAAACCUAAAGGAGGACUUUCUAUUUGGGUAUCUAAUUGGAAAAAAAGAUGUCCAUAUUAGACAAAAGAAACCAGCAGAUGUUCAGAAAAAAUCACAAGUGGGCAUUUUUUGUGUUCAAUAGGCGCUGCUAAUUUGAAGGCCUCUUGGAGGUCACAUGAUAGUCUAAAGCCUAAGCAACUGGCUUUCUAUUUGAGAAAUUUAUUGAUCAUCGUUGCCAUUGAUUUUGCAAAGAGACAUUGGAAAGAGAAUGUUAGAUGAGGAAAAUUAGAAUGAAUAGUAUUGGUUGUGUUAAUUCAGUGUUUUCAUUUUUGCCAUCAUAGUACGGAGUUGGAAAUAAAGAUGCAUAAAGCAACAGCUGUCCUUGUCCACCCUCCUUUCAAACUUCAUUGUAGCAUCAAUUGACCCAGAAAGUUCGGUUUAAACAUUCCACGACAUUUUAAAUGAUCAUCGCGUAAGGUAAUCGUAUUAUACCCUCCCCAAAUAGAAAACUUCCUGGUGUCAAUAAUCCAUUACCCUGACUUCCACUCAAAGACAGAGCCGGAGAGAGAGAGAGAGAGAGAGAGAGAGAGAGAGAGAGAGAGAGAGAGAGAGAGAGAGAGAGAGAGAGAGAGAGAGCGGAACUUGUAACUGAUGGUGUAACUUCUUAAGUAUUCAUAACAGCGAAGCUCUAGCAUAUAGCCUAGGAGAAAGAUGGAAACAACAAGGUAAAGGUUCUAAAUAGCAACUUCUAUGAUCAUUAACGUACCGAUAGACACUAUUUAGAAUCGCCAUCCACGUGAGAAAAUAGGAUCAAAGAGCUUCCGUGGGAGAGACUACCUUCGAGGUCGAUUCGAUCGCAGGUCGCUGCACUAGCGAGGAAGCGAGAGAGAGAGAGAGAGAGAGAGAGAGAGAGAGAGAGAGAGAGAGAGAGAUUUUGUCCAGCCAGAGAGUGACUAUGGAAGCAUUUGGGUUCGUUGCAGAGAUGAUAAUUACGAAAAACAAAGAGGUGAGAAUUUGUUUGCUCUGCCCUGACAAUUAUUGGUAUUUCGCUCGUGUCCAAAUACCUUUCANNNNNNNNNNNNNNNNNNNNNNNNNNNNNNNNNNNNNNNNNNNNNNNNNNNNNNNNNNNNNNNNNNNNNNNNNNNNNNNNNNNNNNNNNNNNNNNNNNNNACAUCAUAAAACAAUGAUUAAGUAAAAAUUAUGUCCACUUUAAUUGAUAUGAAUCUGGUAGAUAACCAGAAAACCAUAAGCACUGGGCAGGUACUUAUUAUAUAUAAUCAUUGCAAUAUGCUUGUUGGCCUAUGUGAAGAUGUUAAUAUACUCUCAAGCCUAAGAGAAGGACUUCCUAUUCGAGUAUCUAAUUGGUAAAAAAAUGUCCAUAUUAGACAAAUAAACCAGCAGAUGUUCAGAAAAAAAGCACAAAUGGGCAUUCUUUGUGUGCAAUAGGUGCUGCUAAUUUUAAGGCCUCUUGGAGGUAACAUGAUAUUCUAAAGCCUGAGCAACUGGCUUUCUACGUGAGUAAUUGAUUGAUCAUCGUCGCCACUGAUUUUGCAUAGAGACACCAGAAAGAAACGUUAGACGAAGAAAAUAGAAUGAAUACUACCGGUUGUCUUAAUCAACAUAUUUCCAUUUUUGCCAUCAAUCUUCAGUUUAAACAUUCCAACGACAUCUGAAAUGAUCAUCGCGUAAAGUAAUCAUAUUGUAAUGUUAAACCCUCCCCACAUAGAAACCUUCCCAGUAUCAAUGAUCCACCACCCUGGCUACAGCUCAAAUACAGAGCCACAGAGAGAGAGAGAGAGAGAGAGAGAGCAAGGAUCUUGUAACCGAUGGUGUUACUUUUUAAGUAUUCAUAACAGCAAAGCUGUAGCAUAUAGCCUAGGAGAAAGAUGAAAACAACAAGGUAAAGGGUUCUAAAUAGCAAUUUCUUUGACAAAAAGAGUACCGGCAGUGUUUAUAAUCACCAUCCUCGCGGUAAAAUCAGGAUCAGCCGACCUCAGCUCAGCGAUGACUAACCCAGUGGGAGGAAAAACUUCUUACGACGCAUGAAACGAUCAAUUAAAGGGAGGCGGGGGGAAAACAUAGAGCCAGGAUACGGAAAAUGAACCAACUCCUCACAUCCAAAAGCCCAAAGCUAACACAUCCUCACGGUUCACGCCACCGGAUUUCCUCGCGAUUCAAGCACUUCGCGCACAAAAUUACAAAAAUGAGGUUAAACGCGACAGCUAGAAACGAACCCACGCAAAAUGACCGGAGACCCCUCGAUUUCGAAAGGAUCGCGAAGGCAUUGCCGAACUUAUCCUCACGACAGGUGAUCGGGCCGGAUAAUCGAGAAUUCCAUGGCACGUGAUCAUGAUUGGACCGUCUACGCCACCGCCCAUCGUUGGAGGGGGCCAACAACCUCAUUGGCCCUAGGUGGUGGAGGGGGGGCAGCCCUCGCCAGCCCGGGUGAGGCCACCGUUGGCCUAGGCAAGGUCGGGCGAGGCCACCGUCGGCCCAAGCAAGGUCAAGCAAGGCUCGCCCAAAUCUAGACAACGCCCUAUGGGUCACCUAGAUCUAAGUGAUGCCGGUCCUUGCCUGGGGCUGACCAAUGAGGCCUCACUUGGGGCUGGUGAGGUCUCGCCGGUCAUAGGGGAGGAUUGACGUCGCCCGAAUCUAGGCAACCCUCUUCUGGCGUUGAGGCAUCGCCUAGAUCUGGGCGAACCUCACUUAGGCCUAAGUUGAGGCGUCCUCCAAAUCUAGGUGAGCCUCAUCGGCCCUUGCCUAGGCUGGCAAUGGCCUCACCUGGACCGACGAGGGCCCUCCCCCACUUUGCUGCCUAAGGCUGACAACCUUAUUGGCCCCCUCUGACGAUGGGUGGUAGCGGCGUCAUGCCCAACACAAUCCCUGCCUUCAUUUUUCUUUGUUUUCAAUUUUGAUUUUUAAAUUGUUUUAGUUUUUAAAAAAAAAAUUUACUAUAAUAAACAUAAGAUUUGAAGAAAAAAGUAAUAUAAAAUGCCACGUAAGAUAAAUAAAUAAACUUAAAAAUGCUAUGUUAGCAUAUUCCGUUAGAUAAAUUGACGGUGUUAAUGCAAGGACUUGAUUGCACUAAUUUGACAAAUUUUAAGAUUUAAUUGCACUUUUUGAAAGUUUUAGGGUUCUACUGUACUUUUGUGACAAGUUUUAGGACUUAUAGUAUACAUAUCAUAUAUUUUUAUUAAGGGGAUCUUUGAUCUUUGAUAUGUGAUCGGGUAUAUUACGAUCACAAUAUUUUCUUAUUUAGUUGCUUAAUAAGUGUUUUUGAGGCACUUUUUAAGUAAAUCCUUUAUAAAUCUGGUCUUUAUACCUUUUUCAGACACUUUGUUGCUUCAGCUUGGAUCUUCAUAAAGAAAAACCUAGUGAAAAUUUCCAAGUAUUAUGCAAAGAAAGCAAUCGACCGGUAAACUUUUCGGGUUAGUACAUCAAUUUCUAAAUCUUUCAUAAAGGGGAAAGUUCAACGAGAUCCUCCCAUCAGGAAAUUUUUUUUGUUGUUAUAAAAAAUCACUUAAGUGCUCAUAUGACAAAUUAAAUAAGGUAUAGAUACUCUUUCUAAUAAAAAAAAUUUCAAGAUUCAACUAAACCAAUGAAAGGUUUAAGGCUUGAUUGCAUUUUUUGUAUAAGAUUUUGGACACAGUAUUUAUCUUUUUGGUCAUUGUAUCGUACCGAGUACAAGAGGAAAGAAGAAGGAUAGGCGGAUAUGUCACGCAUAUAUGGGUACCCGAAGGGAAGGUUAGGAUAAACAUCACCGGUCAGACCGGUUGCUUUUGGCCUUUCUUAUUUUCUUUCGUACUUUUGUUGCGUUUGGGCAAAGACGUACCUGGUUUCUUGUCUGACGAGUUCCAACCCAAACCACCAUUUAAAAAAAAAAAAAAUUAAAGAAAGAGUUGCGAGUCUCUCCUAGCUGUUUGACAUGGUAGGAAUAGUAAUAUGGAUUAGUAGUUGUUUAUUGCGAUAAUUAAGGGGGAAAGACACCAUAUAAUUAUGCCAAUCACGCUUGACUCCAUUCCUUUCACAUUAAUGAGAGGACUUCCUGUGCAAUUUUCCUGUUUUGCUUUCGUCUUGACUCAAAGUUGUCGGUCUCUUAUUUGCAUUUUCUUUCCUGCCCUCUUCCUUUUCUCAAUCUUCUCUCUGCUCAAAGUAUCACCGCAGGCCAUGGUCUCGCUUUACGGUCUCCCCUCCUUCUUUCUUUCAUUUUCCUUCGUUUUUCUAUCGCAAUUCUCAAACUUCAUUGACACUCAAGCUCAAGAUUAUGAUUACCUAGCUGCCACGAUUUCAACUCAGUGGGUGAAUAACGUAAUAGCUACUCACGUCACUCGACAUGUAGAUGGAUCGAUUGUGCAGGCAAUUCUACUCCGAGGCAAAGGAGGUUCUGGCCCUGCCUACGCUUGCAGCUUCUACUGUAAUGGUAAUUGCAACACUUUGCCUCUUUGUUGUUUUCAUCGUCACAGUUUAUGGUAGUGGCGUAACUGUUGAAUACACUAUUCCACAAGCAGUGUGAUCUGCCAAUAGAAACAAUCCUGUAAAGAUCGAAGCAACAUUGAAGCUCAAGUCCGAAGGUGAUUUGGUGUUGAAACAUGCUGAUGGUACGGUUGCUUGGUCCACAAAUACUUCUGGAAAGUCCGUUGUAGGCUUGAACUUGACAGAUUUGGGGAACCUCGUGUUGUUUGGUAAGGACAAUGUGGCUGUUUGGCAGUCUUUGAUGAGCUAACCGACUUGCUUUGUCCUUAGAAAAAAGUUGANNNNNNNNNNNNNNNNNNNNNNNNNNNNNNNNNNNNNNNNNNNNNNNNNNNNNNNNNNNNNNNNNNNNNNNNNNNNNNNNNNNNNNNNNNNNNNNNNNNNNNNNNNNNNNNNNNNNNNNNNNNNNNNNNNNNNNNNNNNNNNNNNNNNNNNNNNNNNNNNNNNNNNNNNNNNNNNNNNNNNNNNNNNNNNNNNNNNNNNNNNNNNNNNNNNNNNNNNNNNNNNNNNNNNNNNNNNNNNNNNNNNNNNNNNNNNNNNAUCGAUACAUGAAGUGGGCUCGGAUGGCAUUGAGAGUGUAUGUAUACAAUUGAUUGGUGAGCAUAAAGAAGUGCAAAUCUUUUCAUAGGGUUUGGCGAGGACUGUGCCUAUCCAACAAUGUGCGGGCGAUAUGGAAUUUGUUCCAAUGGGCAAUGUAAUUGUGAAAGCUAGUACGAGCACCUAGAGGGGAGUGAAUAGGUGUAAAAACAAAUUUCCCGAGAGAAGUGUGCAACACUAAUCAACAAUGGAUUAUGAAAAGGAAAUUAGACUCUUGUAAACAAAUUGAGUUACGAUCAAAGUAAAAGAGCGUAGGAGAGAGAAUAAGAACAUAGGGUUUAUAAUGUCGGCUUAAUCCAAGCCUACGUCCACUCUUCCGCACUGACAGCUCACUGGCUGGAUUUCACUAUGAAUUAAAAGAGUUGUUAUAGUAAAGCUCUUCCUUGAUUCCACUGUGUAGAGACUCUGCUACACUUCCUCAAGGUCUCACAAAGAUAUAAACUCUCUUUUAAGUACAAGAUUUCGCUCAACAAUUGAAUUGACUAAGAAACAAGGAGCUUUAGACUUUGGAAUUCUUCUAUCGCGCACAUACUUGAACAACUGGAAUGUCUUCCUUAUAUACUCUUUCAUGCCAUCACACCCAUCGACACUUACCAAAGGAGUUCUUCCAAUCUACCCGUUGGACAGAAUCAAUUAAGAAGAUUUCGAGUUAUUUAAGGAAUAUGACGAUAGCCCACCAAACUUGCUCGCCCAUACAAUCAGGAUCUAGGUUUCCAUAAGUAGAACCUUCCAAGUAUACUUUGCCAAUCAACAGAUCCAAAAUCCCUGAAUCAAUCUCAAUUUAAUUAAUGGAUUCCAACAUGUUGUAUCCAGCCAAGAGAUCUUCUUCAGUCGAUAGAAUCAAAUCCUCAACGAAACACUCAAUUCUGGAUAAGCCUUCUUUGACGGUCUAGAAACUGUCAAUGAGGAUAGACUUUGGGUCUUGAAUCUGACAGUCCGGAGGUUUUCAGAUUUUGAUGGAAGAGUCUACAAGUCUUUAGACUAGAUUGAUGGAAACGUUUUGUCAACUUCAAAACACUCAAGGAAGUUUUCUCCAACAAUCUCUCCCUUUUUGAUGGUGACAAAACUUUCCUACAGAUUUGGAUAACUUUGACCUGCAAAACAAUACUCAAGCAAACAUGGAUAUUUCACAAAAGAUAAUUGGCUUAGUAAAGAUAACAUUAAAAUCUGCAUCCACAGAAAAUAGGUUAGUCCUGUAAACGAGCAACUAUCUUUGCCAUAAAAUACUAGUAGUGCUUAAGAUAAACAAAUAGUCAAAUCCAAAUCUAGUCCAAAUCCAAACAGUCAAACACAAAAGUAAAGUCAAUCAAAUACAAAAGUCACAAAAGUCAAGAGUUCAAGAGUUUAAAUCUCAAAUCUGCACGACAUCUCUCCCCCUUUUUGUUAGCAUUAAAAAGGUAGAGAUGAAACAAGAAUGGAAUUAUGAUUGCUUGGGAACACAAACAAGCUGGAAAUCUCUCAUUGACUGGACAAUCCCUUCCAGCUUUUUCAAAUCUUCUUUCAGCUGAGUCACAUCUUCACCCUUGGCAUUUACUUGAACUUGAAGAGCAAGGGCAUGGAGUUGAUCAUGCAAAGAAAUUGAAGAGGUUUGACCUGCAUUUUGCAAGUUCUGUACUUUACAUCCCAGAGUAUAAAUUUGGCCUCGCAUCUCCAAGAGAACAUCAAGCACUCUGUGAAAGUCUGCUGAAUUGUCAGUCUGAGUACUGGCUUCUGCUCGAUCAGAUGGUGUAUUGGUAGAUGAUGGGCAAGUUAGCAUGAUCACGCAGAUUGGGCGAUGAAACCUCAUGGCCUUUCUCAGGAAAUUGAGAAGCGUAGAUGUCUUCUGGAUCUGCUGGAGAACGACUUACUCCUUCACUGGUGGCAGCAAUUGAGGACAUACCUCUUUUCUCAGGAUCUCCCCCUGUUUCAAUGCCUUUAGGCUGUGAGAAGUACUCCUCAUGUUCUGCUUCUUCUUGUCCUCCUCUACCCUCUUCUUCCUCUUCCACAAUCCUUUCCUCCUCUGCUUCUUUCUCCAAUGAUUCUCUCUCUCCAGUCCUCUGUUCAAUCUCAUCCUUGUCUUGUUCCUGUCUCUCCUUUGUCUCUGGAACAGAACGACUCAAGUUCUUCAAUGUAAGAGCAUAAAUUGUGAUAUCAUCCUCAUCCUCUUCAUCCUCCAAGAUGAGUGCUCUUCUUUUAUUGGAUGAAGCAACCAUAGGCUCCUUCCUUUUCCGCUUUGCAGCCGAAGAGACUGGGUGAGUCUUGACAAGGGUUUUCACCUUGAAUUGCUCCAAAGCCUUGUCGAGUUCCUUCAGACGCAUUUUAGAGACCAUUUUCAGUCCCACCACCAUUUGAUCGCAUGUUCGAACAUAAAGAAUUCGGAGAGGCUGAAUGUUCAAAUGUCUAAAUAACUUUGUGACAAAUGCUGAGUAAGGAAGUUGGCCAUUGUCCUUCACCAUCGUUUUGUACAUGUAGAACAUAAUAGUGUGUGGAAGAGAGAACUUUUUGCCAGCGUUGAUGGCAUACAUCAGCUUUGCCUCUGAGUUUGAAAUGUCGAUUUUUGAAGUUGAUUUGGGUCUGAGGUAGUUGAUCACUAUCUUGUGAAGCAAAAUGUUUGAGGCAUUCAUCCUUGAAUAUGAAAUCUUUCCUUCCGUCAUUCUAUCCUGAACAAGCUCUAUCAUCGCAUGACCAAUAGACACAAUGAUUGGUUGUUAUCUUCCUCUUUCAACCCCAAUCACAUCAGCCAAUGUAUUCAUGUCAACCACAUAAUCCUGAUCUCGAACACUGAAAGAGAAUCUAUUCGUAUCCAAGAAACUGAGAUUCAAAUAGAAGUAAGUAGUAAGUUCAGCAUGAGCCUCUGUCGUUUCAAAACAAAACCGUUCAAGUUGAAGAAGAUUGAAUUUCUCUCGCAGAUUAGCAUUCAGAGAAUCAAGAAAAUCAAAGUCCACACUUCUAGGGUUAAUCACACCACGCUUUAGCAACUUAGAGUACAGUUGCUUGUGUUCCUCCGAACGAAAUAGAUCUGUCCUUUUGCUUCGGAUUUUCGCUGCAACACCCAUUCUAGGUUUAAAUUGAGUGUACAUCCUAUCAUCAUCAUUCCCAUUCGGUUGACUCAGCCCUCCAACACGUGGAUCACUUGGGAUAUUUGCAAAUGCUUCUUCUACUGACCCCGCAGGGGCAAUUCCUAAUCGUUCCAUUGUGCGUAAAAAGUAGGUUUCAUUUCGAUACCAUUUGUCUUUCAAAAAUUCAUCAAUGUAGUUCAAAGGAGUAUCGUCCCUUUUCAAAGCACGGUAAAGCUUAAAAGUAAAAGCUGGCUUUUGAGUUCUUACAGAUUCUGUAUCUUCAAUGAUUUCUUCAUCUUCUCGAUAUUCAAUAUUCUGAGGUCUAGAUGGAGGAGAUGGACGCUGUUGAGAAUGUUGUGGGCUCUGCUGUUGUCUAGGAGAUUUUUCUUCCUCGGUGAGAUCAAAAUGUGUAGGUCCCUCACGCAUUUGCAGUGGUCUCCUAUUCGCGAUCCUCGAAGACUUUCUUUACGAUGACAUUUUUCACAGUUUUUGAGAGAUUCCAAGCUUGUUUCGCAAGAAAGAUGAAAACUUUCGAGGAUUAAAAAAUAGAAGAAGAUAGAAGUGGAAGAUUUGUGCUCUCUUAGGGUUUUUGUGAGUAAAACGAAGAAGAACCAACAGUAUAUAAGGCAGUCGAAGUGAGGCAUAUGGAACGUCGUAAAAAGGAAAUAUAAAAAUGCCUUUAAAAAAAAAUAACUGCCUUUUCAAAAACCGAAUAACUAUCAUUUCAAAAAUAACUUCUUUUUUGAAAAGGAAAGAUUGCAAUAAUCACGAAAACUAGGAAAUAGCAUCAAUCAAUUACGGAUAGAUGAUCGUACAUUUUCGAGAUUUGAUCUGAGAGAUAAGUUUCUAAAAUAGAAGUAACUUACAGUUGUAAAUCUCGAUCGUCUGAGUCUGAGUGUCUUUAGACUUUCAAUCCUAAGUCUAAACUUCCUCAGGCUUUAAGAUAUUGAGUUUGGAACAAAUAACUUCAAAUUAAUUUUUCUCCAAAAGCUUUGUAAAUAUAUCUGACAGUUGAUUCUUUGAAUUAAUAAACUAAAUCAAAACUUCUCCAUUUUGAACAUGAUCUCUAAUGAAAUUAUGUCGAAUCUCUAUAUGUUUUGCUUUUGAGUGAAGAUUCAGAUUCUUGGUAAGAUUGAUUGCGCUAGUGCUGUCACAUUUGAUCUCAGUGCAUGAAUCUUCAAUUCCAAAGUCUCUUAGUUGUUGUUUUAUCCACAGAAUUUGUGAACAAUAACUUCCAAGAGCUAUAUAUUCUGCUUCUGCCGUCGAAAGAGCUACGGUACUUUGCUUCCUUGAAAACCAAGACACCAUCCUGUUUCCAAGUAAUUGACAGGUGCCCGAAGUGCUCUUUCUAUCAACUCUGCAUCCUACUAGAUCAGCGUCUGAGUAUCCAAGAAGUGUGAAGUCUCCUUAUUUAGGAUACCAGAGACCUAAAUUUGAAGUUGAGGCAAUGUAUUUGAUAAUACGCUUUGUAGCACUUAAAUGAGAUUCUUUAGGGUCUGAUUGAAAUCUGGCACAAAUACAAAUGCUAAACAAAAUGUCAGGUUUAGAAGCAGUAAAAUAAAGAAGUGAACCAAUAAUACUCCUGUAUAGCUUCUGGUCAACUUUCUUUCCUCCUUCAUCUUUGUCCAGCUUCAAAGAACUUGACAUUGGUAUAUCAGUCUUUUUGCAAUUCUCCAGUCCAAACUUUUUAACAAGUUCUUUAGCAUAUUUUUCUUGAUGAAUAAAGGUCCCCUCCUUCAGUUGUUUCACUUGAAGCCCGAGAAAGAAGAUUAGUUCACCCAUCAUGCUCAUUUCAAAUUCAUCCUGCAUAGACUUAGAGAAUUUCUUAUACAGAUUUUCAUUAGAAGAUCCAAAAAUAAUAUCAUCAACAUAAAUUUGAACAAGUAAAAAACUUUUGCUUUCUCUUUUGAUAACAAUGUAGUAUCUACUUUACCUUUGACAAAACCAUUUUGAAUUAAAAACUUACUUAGUCUAUCGUACCAAGUUCGAGGUGCUUGCUUUAAACCAUAUAGAGCCUUUUUCAGUCUGAAUAUAGAGUUCGGUUCCCUUAGAUCUUCAAAAUUGGGUGGUUGUUCCACAUAGACUUCCUCUUGAAUAAAUCUAUUUAGGAAAGCAUUUUUGAUGUCUAUUUGGAAUAACCUGAAAUUCUUAUGACAAGUAAAAGCAAGUAAUAAUCUGAUUACUUCUAACCUUGCUACUGGCGCGUAAGUCUCAUCAUAGUCUAUCCCUUAUUCUUGCGUAUAUCCCUUGGCCACGAGUCUUGCUUUGUUUCUUAUGACUUUUCCUUUCUUGUUCAUUUUGUUCCUGAAAACCCAUUUAGCUCCAAUGAUGGAUUUUCCUUUUGGUUUAGGAGUCAAUUCCCAGACAUCAUUGAUACUGAAUUGCCUAAGUUCUUCUUGCAUAGCUUCAAUCCAGCUUUCAUCAGUUAUAGCUUCUUCUAUGCUUUUGGAUUCUAUUUCAGAAAUAAGAGCCACAGCACUAGACUCUUCAUGUCUUUUGAAUCUUGUGCGAAUUCCUUUAUUAAUAUCACCAAUAAUGAGAUCUUUGGGAUGACUGGACUUAUGCUUCCAGUUGCUGGUUGAUUUGUCAGAUUGUUGAUCAUUUUUCUCAUUUGAAUCUUCAAUUAUCAUUUGUUGCUGGUCUUCUGAAGUCUGAGCUGCUUCUGGAGAUUUAGAAUUUGUAGAGUCUAGAGCAGGUUCAGAUUCUUCAAGUUAAGUCUGAAUCGAUUGAUUUUGCAUAAAGUCUUGAAAUUUGACAUUCAUCGAUUCCUCCAUAGAUUGAGUCGUUUUGUUGUAUACUCUGUAAGCUUUGUUUGUAAUAGAAUAUCCAAGGAAGAUACCUUCAUCUAAUUUUUCUUCAAAUUUACCAACUCGAUCAUUUGCAUUUUUUUAAUAUAAACAUUUACAUUCAAACACAUGAAAAUACGAAACAAUUGGCUUCUUUCCUUUGAAUAACUCAUAGGGAGUUUUCUCUAGAAUAAGCCUUAAAAAGACUUUAUUAAUAAUAUAGCACGCUGUAGAAACUGCUUCAGCCCAAAAACGAGAAGAGAUGUUACUUUUAAUUAAAAGAGUUCUAGCCAUUUCCUGCAGCGAUCUAUUCUUUCUUUCAACAACUCCAUUUUGCUCUGGAGUAUAUGGUGAAGAGAACACGUGCUGAAAACCAGAUUCAUCACAGAAUUUUGCAAAGUCUUGAUUUUCAAAUUCACCUCUAUGGUUUGUCUGUAUACUUGAAAUAACAUAUCCUUUAUCAUUUUGGACAUUUUUAGCAAACUUUAUAAAAUAAGAAAAUGUUUCAGACUUGCUAGGAAAUAUACCUAAGUGAAUCGUGAAUAGUCAUCCACAAAUAGUAAGCAAUAUUUCUUACCUCCAAUGCUCUGAGUUCUGGUUGGUCCAAAAAGAUCCAUGUGCAAGAGCUAUAGCACACGAUUAGUGCAUACUUGAUUUAUUGGUUUGAAUGAGUUUUUUACCUGUUUUCCCAACACACAUGGUGUGCAUAGAUCAGACUUUAGGUAUAUCAGUUUGGAUAGUCCACGAACAAGCUUCUUUGCUGAGAUUUUGGCUAUUUGCUUCAUGUUGAUGUGCCCAAGUUUUCUGUGCCAUAAGUUUGCUUCCUCUUGAAUUGAGAUUAGAUAUUGGCUUUGCCCCGUGAAAGACUGAGAGGAAUCUUUAUUGGUUCCUAAACAUAUUUCUUCUUGAAAGUUAAUUUUGAAACCAGUGUCGCACAGUUGACUGAUACUCAGCAAAUUGUAGUUGAGUCCUUCCACUAAGGAAACAUUACUGAUUGUGAUGCUUCCAAUCUUUACAGUUUCGUAUUCCACAAUUCUUUCUUUGCUAUUUCCUCCAAAAGAAACUUUUCCACCAUUAACUUGUACAAGUUUUAUGAAGCAAUUUGAGUCUCCUGUCAUAUGUCUUGAGUAUCCACUAUCCAAGUACCAUUUAACAUUUUUCUUGAUAGUGACCUGCAUUUAGAAAAAAGACUCAAGCUUUCUUUGGUACCCAUAUUUUCUUGGGUCCAUUGGUGUUAGUGUAAUAUACAGUCUUUGCCUAUACCUUCUUAACAUGUUUUCAAAUCAUAGGACAUUAUUUCUCAAAAUGAUCUAAGCUAUUGCACUUAGAACAUUUAAGAGCACUGCGGCCUACAGGUUUUACAAAAAAAAAUUGGAAAUGAUUUUUGUAAGAAUCUCUUGUAGGUCUUUGCUUAAUUCUUUCCUUUACUUUAGGAAAAUCAAUUAGAGGAAUGGUUUCAGCAGUCAUUCCUAAUCCUGAUUUGUUGAAGUAAGGUCUUUAUGUUGAAAGGAUUUUUUCAAGUUUCUCAGAUCCUAUAAAAAAUCUUUUAAAGAUAUUUGAGAUAUCAUUUUUCAAGAAUGCAUUUUCUUUUGAAAGAUUGUCUGCAUUUUCUUUCAAAGUAGUAACACUUUUGUCUAAACUUUUGACCUUUUCUUGCCAAACAUUUUCCUGUUGUUUCAGUGUAGAAUUUUCCCUUUUAAGUUCUGAAAUCCUUUUAAGAGAGGUUUUGAGACUAAGACACAAUUAAUCAAUGUAUCUAGAAACUUUAGUAGGGAUUUUUAAAUUACUUACCUCGAUUUCACUAUCUGAGUCUGAGCCUGAAUCUGAAUCUGAGUCUGAUUGUGCCAUGAGACAAAUAUUGGCAUACUCAUCAUCACUUUCCUCACAUUCUAUAUCACUCCAAGUUUUUGCUUUAAGUGUCUUUCGAUAUUUCUCAGUUUUUCCUUUCUUUUUCUUCAAAAGGGGACAGUUGGGUCUGAUAUGUCCAUUUUUCUUGCAUUCAAAGCAGACUACAUCUUUAUUAGAUUCAUCAUCCUCAACUGACUUAGUUUGUUGCUUUUGAAAACUUUGUUUCUUUAGAUUGAAUCUUCUCUCCUUUCUGUUUAGUUUUCUGAAUCUUCUUAUCAUGAGAGCAAGCUCUUCAUCAUCUAUAUUGUCUUCAGAAUUUGUGACAUCAGAAUCAUCAUUAGAUUUUAAUACAAUAGAUUUCUUACCUUUAGGAUCUUCAUCUUUGUUGAUUUGCUCCACUUCAUAAGACCGAAGAGUCCCAACCAAUUCGUCAACAGAAAGUGGCAUGAUUCUUUGUGUCUCCUUUAUUGAGGUCUUUAUGUGAUUCCAAUCCUUGGACAGUCCACGCAGUAGCUUGUUUACUUUCAUAGGUCCAGAAAUUGGUUGACCUUGAUAUUCCAGACCAUUCACGAUUUUUGUAAAACGACUAAACAUGUCAAUGAUAGAUUCUCCUGAUUUCAUUUUGAAUGCUUCAUAUUGACCGAGCAGAAUGUUGAUUCUGGCUUCUUUUACUCGAUCAGCUCUUUCAUAGGUGAUAUGUAAUCUAUCCCAGACUUCUUUAGCUGUUUCACAAGAAGAUAUUCUGUUAUAUUCAGUAGGAGAUAAUGCACAAUAUAAAUAAUAAAUUGCUUUUGCAUCAAGAGCUUUUCUCUUGGUUAUCUCUUCUUGAGUCAUUUCACUAGACUCAACAGCUUCUUUUCCCCUUUCUGAGACUGGUGCAGCUUUAGGAAUGAUUCCUUUGUCUACCACUUCCCAUUCCAGAGGAUCCUUUGAUCUUAGGAUUGCCUUCAUCUUGUUUUUCCAUAUAUUGUAUUCAUUUCCAUCAAAAUAAGGCGGUCUGGUAUUGCUUUGCCCUUCAAUCAGACCUGGAGCCAACAUACUAGUCAUGGAUCUUUAACUCUAAUGUAAAACACUUCAACUUGAGUGAGUACACAAGCUCUGAUACCAAUUGUGAAAGCUAGUACGAGUACCUAGAGGGGGUGAAAAGGUGUAAAAACAAAUUUCCCGAGAGAAGUGUGCAAUACUAAUCAACAAUGGAUUAUGAAAAGGAAAUUAGACUCUUGUAAACAAAUUGAGUUAUGAUCAAAGUAAAAGAGCGUAGGGAAGAGAAUAAGAACACAGGGUUUAUAGUGGUUCGGCUUAAUCCAAGCCUACGUCCACUCUUCUGUACUAACAGCCCACUGACUAGAUUUCACUAUGAAUCAAAAGAGUUGUUACAGUAAAACUCUUCCUUGAUUCCACUGUGUAGAGACUCUGCUACACUUCCUUAAGGUCUCACAAAAAUAUAAUCUCUCUUUUGAGUACAAGAUUUCGCUCAACAAUUGAAUUGACUAAGAACAAGGAACUUCAGACUUUGGAAUUCUUCUAUCGCACACACACUUGAACAACUGGAACGUCUUCCUUAUAUACUCCUUCAUGCCAUCACACCCGUGGGCACUUACCAAAGGAGUUCUUCCAAUCUACCCAUUGAACAGAAUCAAUUAGGAAGAUUUCGAGUUAUUUAAGGAAUAUGACGAUAGCCCACCAAUCUUGCUCGCCCAAACAAUCAGGAUCUAGGUUUCCAUAAGUAGAACCUUCCAAGUAUACUUUGCCAAUCAACGGAUCCAAAAUCCCUGAAUCAAUCUCAAUUUGAAUAAUGGAUUCCAACAUGCUGUAUCCAGCCAAGAGAUCUUCUUCAAUCGAUAGAAUCAAAUCCUCAACGAAACACUCAGUUCUGGAUGAGCCUUCUUCGACGGUCUAGAAACUGUCAAUGAGGAUAGACUUUGGGUCUUGAGUUUGGCAAUCCAGAGGACUUCAAACUUUGAUGGAAGAGUUUGCAAGUCUUCAGACUAAACUGAUGGAAACGUUUUGUCAACUUCAAAACACUCAAGGAAGUUUUCUCCAACAGUAGUUGUCUGGCUUCGACUAGGGGAAUGAGCUAUUUCCAAUAAGUAGAUGAUAAGCGGCCUAAUUUUGAGUGUUCUAAGAAUGUUCCAUCGUCUUGUUGGGCUUAAAAAAAUCAAACUCUUCUGGAGCUCAAAAAUGUCAUGUAUUUCAGUUUCACUCUAGAUCUUGAGGAUAUAGAUGCUUUAUGUUGCAAAGAGGCCUGCACAAAGAAUUGUUCCUGCAAAGCAGCUAUAUUCCAAUAUCAUUCUAAUCGCACUAGCGACAAUUAUUACUUACUAACUCAAGUGUUAUUACUUAUGAACGUUGAUAAGAAAACAUUUUUUAUAAUUCUACUACUUACCUUAAAGUACAAAAUAUGGCCAAUGAAGCUCCUUAUACUUCGGUUGACAAUUGUAUGAGCAACCGUUUCCUUGUAAUACCCGGAUCUNNNNNNNNNNNNNNNNNNNNNNNNNNNNNNNNNNNNNNNNNNNNNNNNNNNNNNNNNNNNNNNNNNNNNNNNNNNNNNNNNNNNNNNNNNNNNNNNNNNNGAGCAAAGGAGGAUUACCUUGAUCAAGUACUUGGAGUGCCACUAGAUUCGCAUACAAUGAUUGAAGACCAUCACAGAUGGAUUCAGUAAAAAGCUUGUCGAGGUGGUUUUGGUUUUGUUUCGAAGGUACUCUGAGUGACAGCAUAAAAGUUGCAGUAAAACGCCUUGAUGGUUUUGGAUAGGUUAGGAAAUCCUUUCUAGUCGAAGUUGAGACUAUUGAUAGCAUCCAUCACGUGAACUUGGUAAGACUCAUCAGAUUUUGCACUGAGAAAUUCCAUAGGCUCCUCAUCUAUGACUACAUAUCGAAUGGGUCUCUAGAUAGAUGGAUCUUUCACAAAUCCAAUGAAUGUGUUCUCUACUAGGGGUGUGCAAAAUACCCGGGAACCGCCUAGAACCGGACCGGAACCACCCGAAACCGGCGGUUCUUGAGGGAACUGGUCCGGUUCCUGGUUCCUAUUUAUGGGAACUAGUGGGUACCAGUCCAGUUCCCGGUUCCGUGGGCGAAUUUGCCUGCCCGCCCACCUGGACCAAACCGGAACCUUUUUAAUAUUAAAAAAAAAUUACUAAAAGAAACCCUACGUCUUGAGUCUCAUCUCUUCGUCUUCGGCUCUCUCUCUCUCUCUCUCUGUCUCUUCCUCAGUCUCUUCGUCUUCGAUUCCUCCCUGAGCGUUGACGCCGUCGUCGUCGCUCCUCCUCCGCCGCUGUCUGCCCCCUCGCAUCAGUCGCCACCCGCCACAGCCACUGCUCCUCCACCUCUGCUAUCCGCCCCCUCGCUGUUGUUCGCCCCCUUACUUAGUCUCUUCAUCUUCGAUUCCUCCUCGAGCGUCAACACCGCCAACACUGCUGUCCACUCCCUCGCGUCGAUCGCCACCAGCCAUAGCCGCUACUCCUCCGCCUCUACUGUCCAUCUUGACUGAGCCCCUUUUUCCAUCACUCAACAAGGUACGGUCAUCGGCUUCUAGCUUGCCUCUCGAUUCAUCGUCCGCUUGCGAACUUGUACUUCGAUUCGAUUACCCAAUAGGUCGGAACGUAGUGAAGUUCGAGUCUUUGUUUUGGGAAUCGAUCGCUAUUCAUCUUGGUGCUUUGUCUUCAACAGUGCUCAUGCUUGAAUUUACAGAAUCCUAGGUUGCUUUUCCCUUUUGUUGUGUUUUUUGAUUUUUUUUGUAUGUCUGAUCAUUGGUAAAUUCUAUGCUCAGGGUCUGAGAAGGAGAUAAAGUUUUGAGCUUUUUUAAUUUUUAAUUUUUUUUUUCAAUUUUGUUCUUCUUCCUUCUGGGUUAGGAAACUCACUUCACCUCCUAAAUUUGACUGUACUGCUAGGUUGAACUACCCUUUAGAUAUAUGGUGUGGAGGGAUGGGAUGAUAAAUUGAAGGGCUCUGUUUUUGUUAUCAUUACUCCUUUUUCAUAUGUUAUGCUCGAUUUUAUCAGUUUUGGCUUAUGUGAUUUGCGUGUUUGCAGAUAAUAUACUUGGCAAUAGUUGGAGGAACUUAUUUCAUUGUGGCAAAAUCAUGCUUCAGCUAUAUUCCUGGAUAUUAUUUAAGUGGAAUUCAUAGGUACUGUUUGAAAGGAUUUAUACAAUUUCUGUUAUGAGUCAAUUUGCUGGUGUGAUCAAGGACAAACACUUGGUUUGAUAGCCCAAUCAUCUUGUGGUGGGAAAUAUUUUUGGCUGUUGGCAGAGAAAUGGGAAGUCACCAUUUCACCUCAGAAGGCUAUUAGCUACAUUCAACUCUUUUCUGGAAGAUGCUUUUCUUUUCAUUUUUGAUGGCCCUUUGCGAAUUUAGAUUCACUUGAGUUGUUGUUAUAAGUAGUUUUCUGUGCCUGAUACUAAUGCAUGGCAAGUGGGUUGACAAUUGAUAGUUGUGUGUGUUUUUUAUGAGCAAGAUAUAUACUGCUACAUCGGUGUAGUUUCAGGGACUUAUGUGGCCACAUGAGAGUUUUGAUUGUCCUCGAUGAUGUGAAAAAUGUUUGUCAUGUCAAGAAACUCAUCGGAGAUAUCUUUGGUUGCUUUGGAUAUGGAAGUACGAUCCUUGUAACCUUGUCUAAUAUUCUCUACUUGAUGAGUUUGUUCCACGUACUUAAAUUUGGUUUUUCUUUCUUCGGCUUGCUUUGAUGUCACGUAGUUGUUUUAUGUUGAAAACCAAAAUUAUUUCGCGUCAAGAUUGGUUCACAGAUGGAUCCAUGCAACAAACGGGUAGAUCCCAAUUCCAAUUUUUCGAAACCGGUCCUUAGCAAGCGGUUCCUAAUUUUAGGUUGGGAACCGCCCGCCCGGACCAUGCAUACCCUUAUUCUCUACUGGCAACAAAUGAAGAAGAUCAUUCUUGAUAUAGUGAAAGGACUAAAUUAUCUUCAUGAAGAUUGCGGACAGAAGAUAUUUCACCUAAACAUUGAAUCCCCAAAUAUCCACUUGGAUGGAAAUUUCAAUGCUAAGGUUGCUGAUUUUGGAUUAUUCAAGUUGAUAGACAAAGACCAAAGCCAUGCCAUCACAACCAUGAGAGAAACUCUCAGUUAUGUGGCCCUCGAGUGGUGGAGUAAAGCAAUCACUGAAAAGAUCGGCGUAUAUAGUUUUGGCAUAGUAAACUUAUAGAUAGUGCAUAGGAGAAAAAUCUUGGAUCGCUCUUUAGAAGAAGAAGACAUGCAUUUACUGAGCCUUUUUAAAAGAAGGUAAAAGAGGAACACUUAUUAGACAUUAUGGAUAAGUCUAGCGAUGACGUGCAACUAAAUGGACCAACGGCGGUGAAUAUGAUGAGUAUUGUUGCAUGGUGCUUGCAAGGAGACUAUACAAAGAGGUCCUCCACGUCUAUGGUCAUCAAGGUGCUAAAGGGCAUCAUAGAAGUUCCAGGGGACCUGGAUUACGACUUCACUACUCAGGCUUCCACCAAUUAAGAAGCAAGAUUCAGUUGAAUGGAUGUCGAAUUCAAUGAUGCCUCUACAUUACUACCCUCAAUCCUAAGUGGUCCAUGAUAACGCUACAAAGUCGUAAGAACUUUUCUUCCCAAUAUGUCAAGUGGUAGAACAGGUGAUUGAAUUUUUCAAACUAUGAGGACUCCAUCUUGUCAUUCUCUUUUUAGGCCCAAAAAAAGGCCUUUGGCAUGAUAUCACUUCUCAUUUUCACUUUGCCAAUGAGUGGACUCCACCAUACUUUGCAAAGGAUUGAGUUGGUUACGGCAUUGCAAUUCGGUUUUAUUGCUUACGUGGAAAUUAGUUGUGCUCAAGCUUGUUGUGUGCUAGUCUAGGGAAAAGGGGAACUUGCCGAACCAUUUGUGCAAAAAGCUGUUAAAAGACUAGUCAACUGCCGAUAAUUUCUUUUGGUAGCUUUGCCAUAUUGUGGAUGUCGCGACCCAAUCUCGCCGCCCCUCGAAAAGUAUCCAAGGAGGGGAAAGGUCGGAUUUAGGGGUAUUUGAUCUCGAGAUCGCGAGCUCUCCCAAGCUCGUACCCCGCGUGACAGUAGGUUUAUUAUGCGAUCUAGUUGUUUAUAACAACCUAAAAAAAAUAGGCAGGAGUCGCUACUAGCCUUAUUUUGGGGGUCGGCUAGAAACCCAAUCGAGGGUCGGGAGUAUUCCCUCGAUUCCUACGUAACCAGAUAUCUACGUUCGGGGACUUGGGUUACGCUAAUUUUGCUAUUAACGCCCUUUCGGUACCUAAACAGUAUGUUGUGUUUUUUCUAACAUAUUCAUGCAUUUCUUUUUAUGUUUUCAGGAUCGUCAAUUCUAUACUAAAUGAUCAUGCGUGGUGAAUUACUUUCAUUAUAUUCUACUCUAUUCUAUUCUUAAGAAAUGAAAGGAAAACAUUCAAUGAAAAUUAAAUUGCAAUUCUAAAGAAUAUAAAAGAGAAAACAAUUGAGAAAGAAAGGAAACCCGCAACUCGUCGGGCUUUAUACAAUGCAUGGAACCCGAGACAUGUGUCGGGAAAAAUGAGCAUUACAUGAUAACGGUCGGAGUGGACAUCGACCUCCACCAUCUUUACGCAUUACGCCUUCUCCAUCCCUGUCCUAAUCUAAACCUAAUCUAAGAAACAAGGAUCCCUUGCCUCAUCUUAUAUGACUAAGACAACGCAUAGAAAUCAUUAUUAUAACGAAUAGACAUAGGCAUCAGACAUGAAUAUGAAUCUAGCAAAUUCAAGUCACAAACAGGACAAAAUGCGAGGCAUGCUUAAAGGUUCGUAAAAUCAUCUAGACAAUGUACAAAAAUGUGAAACUUGCACAUGACAUAAGGUUGAAUGCGAAAAAAGGUUUGGGUAAACAUUUAACCCUAAAUCAGAAUGCAAAGAAGUCACACAAGUCAUUAAUAUUGCAAAGUGACUUGGAACUAAGAAUGUUAUGCUUGACAAUUUUCAAUUGCAAUUAGCCAAAUGGGUGCAUGAUAUUCGCAUCAAACAAGGUUCAAAUAUGAUGUCCCAUGCAUUAAUGCGAAACUUGUAACACGUGUUUCAAAUGUCAAGAAGACAAUGACGCAUGAUUUGGCCCUUAAAACAAAGAACCAGCAAAAUCAAUACACAAAGAAACAACAAAAACAGCACCUCAAUGACACGACUAAACAAUUUCACACACCAGGACAUAUGAACAGCAGGUAAAGAAAUAUCGAUACUAAAGAACAACAUAACUCUCGACAUCUUUACAAACAAAAACACAGAGUUUGGAUCGGUAGAACACAAAUAAGCUAUUGGGCAAAGUGAUUAGUGUUGGAAAUUGGUUUGAUGGUGGAUAUCUAAUAUUAAUUAUCAAACAACAGAUUUUUUCUAUAAAAAAAAAAAGAACAAUAGAGCAAGACCAUCCCACACGUGAUUUACUUUUUUUGGUAUUAUCAACCUUAAAAUAUAUGCUCAAAAGAUCGUAGGAAAGUGGCAGACAAUCAGGUCCACCCAAAAACAGAAUAUGCAUUUCUGACCAAGGCAAAUUCCAGAUUUCAGAAUGGAUUAGAAAAAAAAAGUUAAACAUGGCAAAUGAUGGUUGAUUCAGGCAUGCAAUAUGUCAUUUUAAAGCUUGAGAUGCCUAUUACAAUUAUCUAGAAGACAUUAAGUCCUAAUAACAUCAUCUACCAGCUCAUUUCGAGGACCGAAGCAUAUCAGUCAAAAUAGGCAUACGAAUUUCCACAUCAGAGCAGAACAGAACAAUUUUCCAGAAUUACUUCCUAACUUUUAAAGAAGAUUUCAUGUGGCUAAUGAUAUCGGAUCAGGGUUAUAGCUCGUUGGAAAGCUAGUCGAACCAUCUUCAACUCUCAUGAAGGCAUCAAACACAGAAAACCACAGCAACCAGCUCGUAUCAGGUCAUUUGUACAAAAGGUCAUCCAAAACAGAGAACCAAUCAGAACAGCAAAAUUUCAAACAAAGUCAGGGAUAUUCUGGACAUAUUCAACCUGGGUAAAUGAUAUUCAAUUAUCACGAAAUUUUUAUUUGAUAUAGAUUGGAACCUAAUGAACAACUUUCAUUUAGACAUCAACUUUAGAAUCUAAUCACAAAAAAUCAUGUGAAAAUGGCAAACAACACAAGUCAUUAAAGUAGUGCAUGAAAACAGAACACUUAAUCAUUUACAAAUUGUAAAUUGUAGCUCCGUUUGUAACAAUUGUCGAUUCUAGUAAAUGAUGACCAAAUCCAAAAGCUCACGGCAUUCAUUACAAAUUAUUAAGAAAGAAGCAAGCCUCGAGCACAGUACAAAAAGACAGCAAGACUCGAGCACAGCAAAGACUAUGAACAUGCGUUUAGCUUAGGCAUUUCAUCGAACGCUAAAUAGGCGCAAGAAAAACAAGGAGCACCGAGACUGAGCUUGAGUAGGGAUUUAAAAACAAUCAACAUUUAAGACCUCACAAUCCCAGCAUGCACAUGGAUAAAACCAAAACUCACAUGAACAGGACAACGGCGACUUGGUCUAAUGACUCCAAAACUAAGCACAAAGAAGAGACAAAAUAAGGCAAUCGGUCAAGGGUUCCAACCUGGCUCGUGGCACCAGGCAGGAGAUAAGAUCCGAGAAAUCGUCCAGAGAGCGAGCCUCCGAUCAAGAGAGUUACUAAUCUCCGAAAGCGAUCCUCAACCAGUCGGAACAGAGAGAAUUUCCGAUCCUGAUGAAGCUAGAUCCGGGCGAGAGCGAUUGAGUGUCCGUAAGAAAAAGAGAAUUCGAGCAGGAAAGAGAAUUCCCGAGCGAAAGAGUCAGCUUGAGUCCUAGAGAACGUGUGGGAUCUGGAGAGCGUCCUCGAGAGAGAGAAACCGUUCGGCCGUUUUUCCUCCGAGAGAGUCUGAGCCGAGAGCGUUCGUCCGUUUUGUCACAGUCGCGACUGCACUGACCGACAUAGGAAAUUUAGCUGCGGCUGUCACCGAUCGGGGAUGGGAAUACACCGAGCGUGAAGAUGAUCAGCAUAGCGAGGCCAACGACCGCUUCAAGCUCUUCAUCUUCGAAGCCAGAAACAUCACCGACGAUUUCUUCUCAUUCUCCAUCUUCUCCGACUCUAUCUAUCCAGAAGCACGAACCUUCGAGCGGCGGAACUCCCGACGGAAGAAACGAAAACCGAUCGUGAGUGGAGAUCAACUCCGGAUCUUAGUACCGGAAACGACAAGCCAAAGCAAUGGUAGAAACGGAGGAUGCGACGGUUGGUGACCGGAUUGCGGUAGCGGCGGCGCGCGAAUCGAAUCUCCGCCGCGAUGGGAAGAACUUGAAGAUUUGGGAUCGGAGUCGAGUGCAGAGAAAGAGAGAAAGCUUGACGAUGGAGGAUCCUCGAUCUAGGGUUUUCUUGGUGUGGUGGAGGAGACCGGAAAGAAAUCGAGAUCGAAAGAGAGAAAACCAGAAAAGCCCGCGUCCCCGAGCCUCCCCCAGAGAUCUUCCGUUCGAGCCUUUUAGAGAGAGAGAGAGCGUGAGAGAGCGAGAGAAAACCGUUUGAGAGCGAGAGAAAAAGAGAGCCCCUUUUCUAUUAUUUUUUUUCUUUCUUUUAUUUUUUUUUCUCUCCUUUUUCUUUUUCGUUUUCCUUAUUUCUUAUUUUUUUUCUCUUUUCAUUUCAUUUCAUUUUUUUUCUUUUUGUUUUCUUUUUAUUUAUUUAUUUAUUUUUGGCUCUUUAUUUUUUUAUAUUUUUGCAAAAUGGAUGAUUAAAAUGUCGACGAAAAUUUCCGGUGUCAACAGUGGAUCCAAAUGAGAUUUGCCUUUUGGUUCCAACACCUAAUAUCUUUUAGAUUCAAUGACUCUACCUUCCAUGUCUUCUUCAUUUCAACAUUAGUGGGCUAUUUUUAGUCUGUUCUACGAGCACACGGCUAGAACCGAUAAAGAUAACAAGAGAAUUUCAUCACUAAUGAGUUUGGAUUUUUCCUAUCGACUCUUGAUAUAUCCUAGGUCAAUAAUCUUAACUUACAACUUCUUAAAGAUCCAUUGAGGUUGUCUUGGGACAUAUUUUCGCCAAAAAUAAAGAGCCAAGAUUUUUGGGUAUGCAAGAUUCAACUUUGUGAUCUUUAGAUAAUACCAAUAAUUCUCAAUAACCUCAGAUUUUCCACAUUCAUUAAUCAACAUUGAUCCAAGCAUAUAGAUUCAUCAAAUUCAAUAGAGGAUAGAAAGCUUGUUCGGGUCUUAUUUGGUCCCUGGAACUGCUCACACAAUUAACAAAAGUUCAAGCGAUCUAACGCCCCCCCCCCCNNNNNNNNNNNNNNNNNNNNNNNNNNNNNNNNNNNNNNNNNNNNNNNNNNNNNNNNNNNNNNNNNNNNNNNNNNNNNNNNNNNNNNNNNNNNNNNNNNNNGAAAUUCGGUUAACCAAUCUUAGAAAACAUGAUAAAAUUAAAUGCAAAGAAAUAUGAUUGAGAAAGUAACCAAGUUAAUUUCUAAGUAGGAAAAAAAAUGACGAGGUUGAUUUUAUUUUUAAUAAAGAAAUGGACGGGGAGGGGGGAUCAUCAGGUGGCUCUUCUGUUAAUUGUAAUGUGUAUUGUGCGCCAUAUUCAUGUAUGGCGAAGGUAAGGGUAUAUUUUCAAACUUGAACUAAUAUUUGAUAUCAAUCAAUUUUAUUUUAAUUUAUAGUCAUUUUAAUGAAUGUCUUGAGUACUUGUUAAAUAUUUUUAUGAAGAGAAUCUUCAAUCUCCGAUGUGUCAUUGAGUAUAUUAUGAUGACAAUCAAUGUAUUGGGAGUCACCAUAUUUUUUUAUUUAAUUGCUUAAUAAGUGUUUUUGAGGUACUUUCUUAGUAAAUCUUUUUUAUGUCAAGUCCUUAUGCUCUUUAAAAAGAAAAAAAUUCUAAAUCUUUGACUAUACCAGCGAAAGGUAUUUUUUUUCGAAUACAAGAGGAAAGAAGAAGAAAGAUAGGCGAAUGCGUCACGCAUGUGUAGGCGCCGCAAAGGGAAGAUUAGGAUAAACACCUCUAAUCGGACCGGUUGCUUUUGGCCUUUCUUUUUUUUUUUUUUCUUUUUUUUUGCGUUUGGGUAAAGACGCGUACUUCGUUUCUUGUUUGACGGGUUGCAAGUCUCUUCAUCCAACCCAAACCACCAAAAAGAAACAAUUAAAAAAAUUAAAGGAAGAUUGCAAGUCUCUUCUUGAUGCUCGACAUGCGUAUCACGCUGGAAUGCAUUCCAUUCACUUUAUUGAGAGAACUUCCUGUGCAAUUUUCCUGUUUCGCUUUCAUCUUGACUCAAAGUCGCCAGUCUAUUAUUUGCAUCGUCUUCCCUCCUCUCUUCCAUUUCUCAAUCAUCCUCUGCUCAGAGUUUCACUGCAGGCCAUGGUUUUACUCUGCAGUCGCCCUUCUUUCUUCCUUUCCUUUUCCUUCGUUUUGCUAUCGCCAUUCUCAAACUUCAUUGCUCAAGCUCGAGAUUAUGAUCAUCCAACCGCCACGCUUUCAAGACAGUGGACGAAUAACGCAACAGCUAAUAACUACACCCCAUAUAGUGAUGGAUCAGUUGUGCAGAAAAUUCUAUUCCGAGGCACAGGAGUUACCGCCGGCUACUCCUGCGGCUUCUAUUGCAAAGGUAACUGCACCUCUUACCUCUUUGCUGUUCUAAUCUUCCCAGUUGUCAAUGUUUAUAAUAGGGGACUGGACGAAAGUCCACGAGUAGUGUGGUCUGCCAAUCGAAACAAUCCCAUAAAGAUUGGCGCGACAUUGGAGCUCACGCCUGAAGGCGAUUUGGUGUUGAAAGAUGCUAAUGGUACGGUUGCUUGGUCCACAAACACUUCUGCAAAGUCCGUUGUAGGCCUGGACUUGACAGAUUUGGGGAACCUCGUAUUGUUUGAUAAGGACAAUGCGACAGUUUGGCAGUCCUUUGAUCACCCAACCGAUUCACUCGUCCUCGGACAAAAGUUGAGGCAUGGGCAAAGAUUGACACAGAGUAUUUCCGAGACAAAUUGGACCGUUGACGAUAUGAUUACGUUUUCCGUGAAUGGCGAUGGUUUAUCUGCUCAAGUGGAGACUAAUCCUCCUCAAAUCUAUUUCAACUGCAAAGCUUACACUUGGGAUACAAGUAUCAAGAUUUCAUAUGUUGAACUUGAAAAUGGAAGCUUGUCUUGGUUCUCAAAUUCUACCUCGUAUGGGACCUUGUUUUCAAUCCCUUCAGCAUCUUCAACACAACACAUGACGCUAGGCUCAGAUGGGCAUUUGAGAGUGUAUGACUCUGAGGGGGUAGAAGUGGGCGAUCUUUUCAAAGGGUAUGUCGAUGACUGUGCCUAUCCGACGGUGUGUGGGCAAUAUGGAAUUUGUUCCAAUGGGCAAUGUAGUUGUCCGGCUUCAAGUGGGGGCACGAGCUACUUCCAGCCAGUAGAUGCUAGGCAGCCUCAGCUUGGGUGUUUCGAGAAUGGUCCGUUGUCUUGUGGGGCUUCACAACAACAAAGUCUUCUGGAGCAAGAAAAUAUCGCGUAUUUUAGUUUGACUCCAAAUCUCGAGCAUAUAGAUGCUUCAAGUUGUAAAGAGGCUUGUGCAAGGAAUUGUUCAUGCAAAGCAGCUAUAUUUCGAUAUGAAUCGAAUCGCACUAACGGCAGUUGUUACUUACCAACUCAGGUAUUUUCACUUAUGAACAUUGAUGAGGCAACAAGUCCUUAUAAUUCUACUGCUUUCCUCAAAGUACAAAAUUUGACCAAUGAAGCUCCUUAUACUCCAGUUGACAAUCCUAUGAGCAACCGUCUCCCCGUAAUACUUGGGUCCAGCCUUGGAGCUCUCUUUGCCAUGAUGAUUUUGAUUGUAGCCAUAGUUUUGUUUGUUCAAAAGAGAGAUGAUAAUCAAGCAGAGGAGGAUUACCUUGAUCAUGUACCUGGAAUGCCCACUAGAUUCGCAUAUGACGAUCUAAAAACCAUCACAAACGGAUUUGAUAGAAAGCUUGGCGAAGGCGGUUUUGGUUAUGUUUUUGAAGGUACUCUAAGGGAUGGCACAAAGGUUGCAGUAAAACGCCUUGAUGGUUUUGGGCAAGUUAAGAAAUCCUUUCUAGCCGAAGUUGAGACUAUUGGCAGCAUCCAUCACAUGAACUUGGUAAGACUCGUGGGAUUUUGCGCUGAGAAAUCCCACAGGCUCCUUAUCUAUGAGUACAUGUCGAAUGGGUCUUUAGAUAGAUGGAUCUUUCACAAAUCCAAUGAAUGUGUUCUCGACUGGCAACAAAGGAAGAAGAUCAUUCUCGAUAUAGCAAAAGGACUUAAUUAUCUUCAUGAAGAUUGUAGACAGAAGAUAGUUCACUUAGACAUUAAAUCCCAAAAUAUCCUUUUGGAUGAAACUUUCAAUGCUAAGGUUGCUGAUUUUGGGUUAUCCAAGUUAAUAGACAAGGACCAAAGCCAAAUCGUCACAACCAUGAGAGGAACUCCUGGUUAUCUGGCCCCCGAAUGGCUAAGUGCAGCAAUCACCGAAAAGGUCGACGUGUAUAGCUUUGGCGUGGUUAUCUUGGAGAUAUUGUGUGGGAGAAAAUCUUCGAUCUCUCAAUGAAGAAGACAUGUAUUUACUGAGCCUUUUUAAGAGAAAGGCAAAAGAGGAACAAUUGCUGGACAUUGUGGAUAAGUCUAGUGAUGACAUGCAACUAAAUGGAUCGAAUGCAAUGAAUAUGAUGAGGAUUGUCGCAUGGUGCUUGCAAGGAGACUAUAUAAAGAGGCCUCCCAUGUCCAUGGUCAUCAAGGCAUUACAGGGCAUCGUGAAAGUUCAAGAAGACUUGGAUUAUGACUUCUCUGCUCAACCUUCCAGUAGUGGAGAAGUGAGAUUCGAUCCCAUGGAUGUCGAAUUUAAUGCUACCGCUACAUUACUACCCUCAAUCCUAAGUGGUCCACGAUGACGCAUCAAAUUUAGAAUAACUUUUCUUCCCAAUAUGUCAAGUGGUAGAACAUGUGCACGAUUGAAUUUUUCGGUCCGUGAGGACUCCGACUUGUCAUUCUUUUUUUCAGGCCAAGGAAAAAGCCUGUGGCAUGAUAUCAUUUCUUGUUUUUACUUUUGCCAAAAGGAUUGAAUAGGUUAGGAUUUUGCAAUUGGGUUUUAUUGCUUAUGUAGAAACUGUCGUGCUCAAGUUUAUUGUGUGCUAGCCUAGGGAAAAAGCUGCUAGUAAUGUCUUUUGGUAACUUUACCAAAUCAUGGAUCCAAAUUUGAUUUGCUUUUUGGUUCCAACACCUAAUAUCCUUCGGGUUUAAUGACUACCUUCUAUGUCUUCCUCAUUUCAAGCUUAAUGGGCUAUUUUUAGUUUGUUUUGCCAGCGCACAAUUAAAACCGAUAAAGAUAAUAAGAGAAUUUCAUCGUUGGUAAUUUUGGAUUUUUCCUAGUGACUCUUAAUGUAUACUUGAUUAAUAAUAUUAAUUUCCAACUUCUUAAGGAUCUGUCGAGGUUGUUCCAAGGCAUAUGUUUGCCAAAGAUAGAGAAUCAGGAUGUUUGGGCAUUCAAGAUUCAAUUUUCCAUCUUAAAAAAACACUGGUCAUUCUCAAUAACCUCGGCUUUUCCACUGUCUUUAAUCAUCAUGAUCCAAGCAUGCUGAGAUGCUUGUCCGGGUUUUAUUUGGUCUCGGAACUGCUCGCACAAUUAAUGAAAGUUCAAAGCUAUCUGGCCCGCUGCCAUGCCAUGGCACCUCUCGAUUGGAUCUUCUCGUGGCAGGUCAACAAACCAGAGCCCACGUGGAGCUCAUCCAUUGGCCCGAGCUACGUGUAACCUCUUGCAAAUUGCUCCCUCUUCCCUGCACAAACUCACUAGCGACGGAACUUCUUCGCUCGGAGUCGCGAUGGUAAGUUAUCACGAAUCGCACAGAGAAACGAUAAUCAGUACAUAAUAUCCCCAAAACGUAAAAGACAAGACAAGAAAACCAAUGCGAUUAUGAAAAUAAAAAAGAUACGCACGUAGAAAGAAGGCUGAGAGGAAGAAAGAAGAUGACAAACGGUACAUGACUUCCCGAGACAUCUCGAGCAUAACAUAAGACCGUUUGCAAUGCAAAAGCAGCAGAAAUACAGCAUAUUCAAUAUCAAUAAACAGUGAUCCAUUUCUUUCUUUACAGUAGCCCAAACUGGAUCCAGCUCAUAAACGAGGAGUUAACUCUUUUUUCAGAGUGUCAGCUCGCCAUGCGAAAAUACAAGAGUGUAAAGAGACGCGGCAGCAUUCUUUUCUUCGCUUGUUUCCCCCUAAAAGAUGUCAAGGUAGUCUCCAUAUAACUAUGAAGCUCAAAGUAAGAGACAAUUACGUAAUGCUGUAACAUUUUCUUCCCGAUAGUUCAUGCAACAGAUANNNNNNNNNNNNNNNNNNNNNNNNNNNNNNNNNNNNNNNNNNNNNNNNNNNNNNNNNNNNNNNNNNNNNNNNNNNNNNNNNNNNNNNNNNNNNNNNNNNNGGUUGAGGGCUAAGCCCUCGCUACCGUCACCUCCUCGCCGUCGCCGGGAAGGGUCAGUGAAGGUGGGGGGAGGGUUGACUAGGGUCGUCGGUGUGGCAUCCCAAAAUUCAAGUCACCCUCUAGAGGAAUUAAAGCCUAUAAUUAGGUAAUGAAAUUACCUAUGGUCUAUGUGUUAGCCAUUAGUUUUCUUAAGGCUAUGUGUUAAUGUGCUUGUGUUUAUGAGAUUUUAAAUUUGAUAGAUUAAUGAUAAUAAUCUAUGCUUGACCAUGCACCUUAUAGAUUAAAUUCCUAUAAAUAAAAUGUCACAAGACUUUGGCCAUGUGGAAUUUAAAAUUUAAAAUUUGUAGAAGAAAUUAUAAAAGGAGAAAAUUUAAUUUUUUAUUUAAGUUGGGCCUUAGGCCCAUUGGCCUAAGCCUUAGUGGGCCAAGCUGGUCGGCCCAAUUAGGCCCGCGAAAGGGGGCUGUCGCCGGCCCAAAAAGAGACCCAAGAAAAAGAAAGCCCAAGCCCAUGCUUGUGUUGUGACAAGUGGCAAGAGGAGAUGGCAUGCAUUGGCCAAUUGAAAGGCAAACUAAUCAUUGCAAAUGAUUAGGAAAUGGGGGAAUAAAAGGGAAGAGGAGAGAGAGAGGUGGCCGGUUGAGCUACCGCCCAAAGAGAGAGAGAGAUUGUGCGAGAGAGAGGGAGAGUGAGGCCGAGAGGGAGGAGAAGCCAAGAGGAAGGAGUCGCCGCCCGUUCGCCGCCGUGUGCUGCCAUGUUCGCCGCCAUGUGCCGCCGUUUGUGUGGUCUAGAGGCAAGUUGGGAAUCCACUUUCUACUCUUGCACCAAUGUUUUGCAUGUAUGGUCGGAAUCUAGGAUGUUUGGAGGCAUGGGAGUGAAGCAAGUGUGGUUUGUUCUUGAGUUGCAUGCUGUUUUCGCAUGAACAGUUUGAGUCAGAACUUUGUGAGAGCUUGCAUGCAUGUUUUGAGUUCGAUUUUGAUUUUGAUUUCUUCAUGAAAGUUGUAUAUAACAUCUUAAACUAUAACAUAAUAAAAUUUGGUGUAAAAUGAUGGAGAUUUGAGGGGUAAAACUCUCAUCCUACGGAGACAUCAGAUCUGGAACUAUUUCACUGACCUUUCGGUGGAUUUGUGGUUGCAUGUUGAUUUUUACUAAGAAUAUCUCUUCGAUUUCUUCUUUAAAGUUGCAGGGGGAAUCUUAAAAUACAACAUACUCAAAUUUGAAGUAAAAUGAACAAGUAUAACCUAGUAAAUCGACUCACUCUUGAAGACGGUAAAUCUGGAGACGUGGUACAGGACACCCGAGACUUCAUGGACCCAAAUGAUGACUAUACUCUAGAUAUUUGACUUAGAUCCCUUCAUGAAACUUGUAUAGAAAAUCUUGAAGUAAAACAUAUCCAAAUUUCAGAGGAAACGAAGAAUAAUAGGUAGGUGAAGACUCAGUAUUUCGGAGAAGCAUGCACUGGACAUUUCGAUGUUAUAUCCAGAAGCUUCGUGUGACUGUAGAAAAUAAUAUAAAAAUAAUUUGGCCUAGAAGUCUCCAUGAAAAAUAUACCUUAGUGUCUUGGCAAUAACCUGGUAAAAUUUCGUAAUUUUCGGAGAUCGUUUGGAUAUUUUAAUUAAAUUAUUUCGGAAACUGUGCAUUCUGUUUUUAUCCGAAGUUGUAUGCUGUGAUGGUGUGAAUGAUAUCUUUUGUGUGGAAUAUUAUUGGCCAUGUGUCUUUCAUAAAACCAUUAUCUUAUUGUCUUGGUUAUCACAUGCUUUAAUUUCAUGAUUUUUGGGAAUCAUAUGGAUAUUUAAUUUAAAUAUUUUUAAAAAUGGUACAAGCUGGAAUUUAAAUAAAUUCCAAAAAGGCAUAAUAAAUGGAUUAUUCUAAAUUGUAUGAAUUCCAUAAACUUUAUUUUUCAUCCUGUGGCAUGUAUAAUGAUGGCUAAUGAUGCAUGUAUGAAUCAAAGCAUGAAAGUGAUCUUGUUUGCCAUUGCAUCAUGUGCCGUGCUGAGUUGAGACAUAAAUUGGUAACCAUGAAUAAAAGAGAUAAAUGAGGAGACUGUUGUGGUAGAUGAUAAUGCCCUGGGAGUGUCAAGAUGUCCGGGAUGGGGGGUGCCGAAAGCCGGAUUGUAUUGAGAUACAAGGCCGGAUUGUCCUCGGGAGUUUCGAGAUGCCCGGGAAAUGGGGGUGCUGGAAGCCCUGGAGGUUUGUGCCCAGGGGGAUGCCUCGUGACGCCAGUUGGGGUGCGAGAUGCCCGGCCAGGGAGUGUAAAUGCCGGAAGCCUCGGAGGUUUUUGCCCGAGGGAUGCCUCGUGAUGCCAGUUGGGAUGCGAGAUGCCCGGAAUAUGGGGGUUCGGAUGCCCGGUGGUGUAUGCCGGAGGUUUAUCUUGUGAUGCCAGAUGUGGCGAUCGAAUUGAAAGAUAAAAGUGAAAAUGAUGGCAUGCAUAUAUGAUGUGAAGAUGAUAACCUAUGGCAUGAUGGCAUGCAUAUAUGAUGUGAAGAUGAUAACCUAUGGCAUGAUGGCAUGCAUAUAUGAUGUGAAGAUGAUAACCUAUGGCAUGAUGACAUGCAUAUGUGGUGUGAAGAUGAUAGCCUAUGGCAUGAUGACAUGCAUAUAUAUAGGAUAUGAUGAUGAGAUGUGCAUGGAUGCAUGGUAACUAUGCAUGAUGAUAUGCAUGUAUGAGAUGAUAUGAUGAUGAUCACUUAUGGCAUGAUGAUAUGCAUGUAUGAGAUGAUAUGAUGAUGAUCACUUAUGGCAUUAUGAUAUGACAUGAUAUGAUAUGAUGAUGAAGAUGUAUGAUGGUAUAUGCAUGGCUUCAAGGUAAGUACGCAUGGAUGCAUGAAUGGCAUGUAUGAUGUUGUGAUUGUAUUGUAUGAUGCAUUGAGUGGCUAUCGGAUUCUUUUACCUGCUGAGUGGUUGUACUCACCCCUUUGGGGACCAACAUUUCAAAUUAGCAGCAUGCCGCUCCCUGCUGUCACGCAGGGUGUGUUUUACGGUCUACCAUCCAAUGUAGAGGUCAAGUGCGAGGAGUUUGGCUGUCCCUCUGUUCCUGGAUUGACAUAUAUUCGAGUGCGCUGUUUAGUCAUGUACGAUGUAGGCCUGACUGGGGGCCCUGUUGUCCAGGAGUUCAUAUCCGUCCACAUUCGUCGCGACGGUGUGAUGCGUGGGAUGUUGCCGCCGCCACCGCCUGAUGCACCGGGUUGGGUGUGAGGGCCCGUGCGUGAUGAGUAGGAGCUGGAUCUUUUUGGGGAUAGUUAGUCGACACUGAUGAUGGGGAUUUAGCACGUGAGUUGUAGCGGGUCGAGGGUUUCUUUUUGGGGUUUUAGGCCGGGCGUGGCUGAGUCCUGGCUUUUCCUUUUGAUGUACCAACCCAAGAAAUCCCAUCUUGGAGAUAUGUAAAUAAAGUGUCAUGGCUUGUCUUUUAAUCAUGAUGAUUAGUGGUGUGUAUUUGUAUCAUGGUUGAUGGAGGGGGAGAUGGCGAUGUUUUAUUUUGCUUCCGCUAAUGAGUCACGCUGGGACCGCUUUAAAAAAAAAUGUCUAUGAAUUACGACGUUUCUUCUAAAUAAAUGUAAUAAGGUGUAACGUUGGUGUCUGUGGCGACCUGCGAAGGGUUCGGGGUGCCACAGUCGGGCCCUGGCCACGGGCCAGCAACCCUUGCUAAUCGGUGGUGAGGGCCCACGAGCCCUCGCCCCAAAUCUGGGUGAGGGUCGCGACCUUCACCAGAUCUGGCGAGGGUCGCCAACCCUCGUUGGAUUUGGGGGAGGGCCGUGACCCUUAGCCUGGCCGUGUGAGGGCUGUGACCCUUGCCCAAAUCUGGGGCGAGAGCUCACAAGCCCUCGCUACCUGUCGGCCAGGGUUGUCAGCCCUUUGCUAGGGCCGGGUGACCCUGGCCGACCCUCCCCCCAUUGUCGCCGGCCCUUCUAGUGGCGGCGAGCAAGCAGUGGCGGUGAUGAGGACUCAGCCCUCAGUCGCCUUCUUUCUCUCUUGGCCUUUUUUUUUUUUGGAAAUAUUUGUAUUUGUAUUUUUAAAUGAUUUAAAUAAAUUUAGUUUUAAAUUUAAAUUUAAUUUUUUACCACGUCAAUAGCAAAAUGACAUCGUUUUUGCAUUGUCUAGCCAUGUCAGUGUGCAAAAUGACACCGUUUUGCACAUGCUUCGCCAAAAAAUCGUCACGUUAGCAUUUUGGCCGGAUUUUUUUGCCGUUGGCACUUAAGUGAUCAAUUUUGUUCUGAUUUUAGCACUUAAGUGAUCAUCUGAUUUUAGCACUUAAGUGAUCAUCUGAUUUUAGCACUUAAGUGAUCCAUUUUGUUCUGAUUUUGGCACUUAGGUGUCACUUUCCUAACUUUUGGCACUUAAGUGUCCCUACGUGCCAAGUUUUGGCACUUGAGGUGUACUUCUUCCCACUCUUCCUAUCACAACUCACUAGCGAUGGAAGUAUUGAGAUAGCUAGUAUAAGCACCUAGAGGAGGGUGAAUAGGUGCAAAAACAAUUUCUCGUGAUAUGUGAGCAAUAUUAGACAAUGAGAAUGAAGCUCGCCUUUUUGAUAUCACAAGUAAUUAUGAUCAAAGUAAAACNNNNNNNNNNNNNNNNNNNNNNNNNNNNNNNNNNNNNNNNNNNNNNNNNNNNNNNNNNNNNNNNNNNNNNNNNNNNNNNNNNNNNNNNNNNNNNNNNNNNNNNNNNNNNNNNNNNNNNNNNNNNNNNNNNNNNNNNNNNNNNNNNNNNNNNNNNNNNNNNNNNNNNNNNNNNNNNNNNNNNNNNNNNNNNNNNNNNNNNNNNNNNNNNNNNNNNNNNNNNNNNNNNNNNNNNNNNNNNNNNNNNNNNNNNNNNNNNNNNNNNNNNNNNNNNNNNNNNNNNNNNNNNNNNNNNNNNNNNNNNNNNNNNNNNNNNNNNNNNNNNNNNNNNNNNNNNNNNNNNNNNNNNNNNNNNNNNNNNNNNNNNNNNNNNNNNNNNNNNNNNNNNNNNNNNNNNNNNNNNNNNNNNNNNNNNNNNNCCAUCAAUCAUGUUCGCCCAUACAAUCAGGAUCUCGGUUUCCAUAAGUAGAACCUUCCAAGUAUACUUCACCAAUCAUCAGAUCCUUAAUCAAUCUUGAUUUGAGUAAAGGAUUCCGUUAUGUCAUAUCCAGCCAAGAGAUCUUCGUCAGUCGAUAAGAUCAAAUUCUUAACGAAACAUCCAGUCCUGGAUAGACCUUCUUCGACAAACUAGAAACUAUUAAUGAUGAUAGACUUUGAGUCUUGAGUCUGGUAGUUCGAAGGUCUUCAGACUUUAAAUAGUAGAGUCUGCAAAUCUUCAGACUAAACUGAUGGAAACGUUUUGUCAGCUUCAAAAUACUUCAUGAAGAUUUCUCCAACAAUCUCCCCCUUUUGAUGGUGACAAAACUUUCCUGCAGAUUUAAAUAACUUUGACCUACAAAACAUUACUCAAACAAAUAUGGAUAUCUUAUAAAGAUAAAUGGCUUACUAGAAUCUGCAACCAUAGAAAAUAAGUUAGUCUUUCAUGAGAGUAAAGCCAUUCAUAAGAUAUCAGUAGUACUUAAUAUGAGCAGUCAAAUCCAAAUCCCAAAUUCAGUCCACAUCCAGACACAAGUCAAGUCAAAACAUCAAACAUCAAAACAAAUUAAAAGUUCAACAAGUUCAAGAUCAAAGUUUUAAAAUCUCGCAUCUCUCCCCCUUUUUGUCAUCAGAAAAAAGGUUGAGAUGGAAAUAGAGUCAAGAUUGCUUGGGAACACGAACAAGCUGGAAAUCUCCCAUAGACUGAGCGAUGCCUUCUAGCUUUUUCAAUUCUUCUUUCAGUUGAGCUACAUCUUCACCCUUAGCAUUUGCUUGAAUCUGAAGAGCAAGGGCUUGGAUCUGAUCAUUCACAGAAACUGAAGAAGCUUGGCUUGCAGUCUGUAAAUUCUGUACUUCGUAACCCAAAGCAUAUAUCUGACCCCGCAACUCCAAGAGAACAUCGAGAAUUCUGCGAAAAUCUGCUGAAUUAUCAGUCUGCGUACUGGCUUCUGCUCGAUCAGAUGGAGUAAAGGCAGAUGAUGGCAAAUCAGCAUAGUUAUGCGGAUUGGGCGAUGAAACACCAUGUCCCUCCUCAGGAAAUUGAGAGGCAUAAACGUCCUCUGGAUCUGCUGGAGAGCGACUGACUUCUUCACUGGUAGCCGGAUAUGAGGACAUAUCUCUUUUCUCACAAUCUCCCCCUAUUUCCAUGCCUUCAGGUGGAGAAGAGUGUUCCUCAUACUCUCCUUCCUCUUGAUCUCCUUUCUCUCCUUUCUCUUCUUCUUCUGCUUCAAUUCUUUCCUCCUCAGCAUCUCUUUCUUAUGCUUCUCUCUCCUCUGUUUCUUUUUCCUCUGCUUCUUCUCGUUCUUCAGUCCUCUAUUAUGAGUCUUUCUCUUGAUGUUCCGUUGAUUCUGGAGCAGAACGACUCAAGUUCUUCAAGGCCAUAGCAGAAAUGGUGAUAUCAUCCUCAUCAUCUUCAUCCUCAACGAUGAGAGCUUUUCUUUUCUUGGAUGAAGCAACCAUGGGCUCCUUCCCUUUUCUUUUUGCUGCAGAAGAGAUUUGAUGAGGCUUGGCAGGAGUUGACUCCUUGAAUUUCUCCAACGUCUUGUUUAGUUCCUUCAGACGCAUUUUAGACACCAUUUUCAAUCCUACCACCAUGUGAUCACACGAUCGAACACAGAGAAUUCGUGGAGGCUGAAUAUUCAAAUGUCUGAAUAACUUUAUCACAAGAGCUGGAUAAGGAAGUUGACCCAUGUCCUUCACCACUGCUCUAUACAUGUGGAACAAAAUAGUGUGAGGAAGAGAAAACUUUUUCCCUGCAUUGAUGGCGUACAUCAGCUUUGCCUCUGAAUUGGAAACAUCAGUUUUUGAAGUAGACUUUGGCCUGAGGCAAUUAAUCACAAUCUUGUGAAGCAGAAUGUUGAACACACGUAUCCUUAAGUAGGAAAUCCUUCCCUCUGUCCUUCUAUCUUUAACAAGUUCCAAUGUGGUGCAACAGACACAUUGAUAGGUUGAUAUCUCCCUCUCUCAACCCUAAUCACAUCAGCCAACAUGUCUACAUCCACCACAUAAUCCUGAUCUCGAACACUAAACGAAAAUCUGUUCGCGUCCAGGAAACUGAGAUUUGAAUAGAAGUAUGCAGUGAGUUCAGCAUAGGCUUCUAUAGGUUCAGAACAAAAUUGCUCAAGUUGAAGAAGACUGAAUUUUUCCCUCAAAUUGACGUUCACAGAGUCAAGGAAAUCAAAGUCUACACUUCUAGGGUUUAUCACCCCACGCUUCAACAACUUAGUGUAAAGAUUCUUGUGUUCUUCCGAAUGGAACAAUUCUAUCCUUUUGCUCCGAAUACUUGCUGCAACACCCAUUCUCGGUUGAAAUUGACUGUACAACUUGUCAUCAUCAUUUUCGUCUAGCUGAUUCACUCCUCCAACACGCGGAUCACUUGGGAUGUUUGCAAGGGUUUCUUCUGCCAACCCUUUAGGGGCAAUUCUCAAACGCUCCAUAUUUUUUAAAAAGAUGUACUCAUUACCAUGCCCUUUGUCCUUGAGAAACUCAUCGAUGUAGUUCAAUGGAGUACCGGUCUUCUUUAAAGCACGAUAAAGCUUAUAAAUAAAGGAGGGCUUUUGAAUUCUUACAGGAUCUGCGCCUUCAACGAUUUCUUCCUCUUCUCUAUGACCAACAUCCUGUGGGCUAGACAGUGGAGAAUGACGCGGCUGAGAAUGUUGUGGGCUCUGCUGCUAACUGGGAGUCUCUUCUUCCUCGGUGAGAUCAAAGUGAGUAGGCCCCUCACUCAUUCUCUGCGGUCCCCUGCUUGCGAUUCUCGAAGACUUCCUUUGAGACGACAUCUUUCACAGUUUUCGGAAGAUUCCAAACUUGUUUUUCCCAAGAAAGAUGACAACUUUUUGAAGAUUAAACAAGAGAAGAAGACGCAAGUGGAAGAUCGAUGCCUUUUAGGGUUUUGGAGUAAGACGAAGAAGAACCGUUCGUAUAUAGGACAGUCGAAGAGAGGCAUCCGAAGCGUCAUAAAAGAAAGUAAAAAGAUGCCUUUUAAAAAUAACUGCCUUUUUCAAAAAUUAGAUAACUACCAUUUAAGACUAACUUCAUUUUCGAAAAAGAAAGAUAGCGAUAAUCACGGAAAUAGCAAAAAUCAAUUAUGGACAGAUAAUCGUACCUUUUCGAAAUUUAUUCUGAGAGAAAGAAUAACUUACAGUAAAGAAAACUCGAUUGACUGAGUCUGAGAGUCUCUAGACUUUAACCUCUUCAGACUUCAAGAUGUUGAGUCUGGAACGAAUAACUUCAAAUUGAUUUUUCUCCAAAGGCUUUGUAAAUAUAUCCACCAGUUGGUUCUUUGAGUCAACAAACUGAAUCGAAACUUCUCCAUUUUGAACAUGAUCUCUGAUGAAGUGAUGUCGAAUCUCUAUAUGCUUUGCUCUUGAGUGAAGAAUUGGAUUCUUGGUCAGAUUGAUUGCGCUGGUGUUGUCACACUUAAUCUCCGUGCAUGAAUCUUCAAUUCCAAAGUCUCUUAGCUGUUGUUUUAUCCACAUAAUUUGUGAGCAGCAACUUCCAAGAGCUACAUACUCUGCUUCUGCUGUAGAAAGAGCUACUAUAUUUUGCUUUCUUGAAAACCAAGACACUGUCCUACUUCCAAGUAGUUGACAAGUACCCGAGGUGCUCUUUCUAUCAACUCUGCAACCGGCUAGGUCUGCGUCUGAGUAUCCAAGAAGAGUAAAGUCUCCAUUUUUAGGAUACCAAAGACCAAGACUUGAAGUUGAAGCAAUGUAUUUGAUAAUACGCUUUGCAGCACUUAGAUGAGAUUCUUUAGGGUCUGCUUGAAAUCUAGCACAAAUACAAACACUAAACAAAAUGUCAGGUUUAGAAGCAGUAAAAUAAAGAAGUGAACCAAUGAUACUCCUGUAUAGCUUCUGGUCAACUUUCUUUCCUCCUUCAUCUUUGUCUAUCUUCAAAGAACUUGACAUUGGUAUGUCAGUCUUUUUGCAAUUUUCUAGUCCAAACUUUUUGACAAGAUCAUUAGCAUAUUUUUCUUGAUGAACAAAAGUUCCUUCCUUCAACUGUUUCACUUGAAGCCCGAGAAGAAGGUUAGCUCACCCAUCAUGCUCAUUUCAACUUCGUCCUGCAUAGACUUAGAGAAUUUCUUGCACAAACUUUCAUUAGAGGAUCCAAAAAUAAUAUCAUCUACAUAUAUUUGAACAAGUAGAAAACUUUUGUUUUCUCUUUUAAUAAAAAGAGUAGUGUCUACUUUACCUUUUACAAAUCUGUUUUGAAUUAAAAACUUACUCAACCUAUCGUACCAAGCUCAAGGUGCGUGUUUUAAACCAUAUAAUGUCUUUUUCAGUCUGAAUACUGAGUCUGGUUUCCUUGGGUCUUCAAACCCAGGUGAUUGUUCCACAUAGACUUCCUCAUGAAUGAAUCCAUUCAGGAAAGCGCUUUUGAUGUCCAUUUGGAAUAACCUGAAAUUUUUAUAACAGGCAAAAGCAAGUAAUAAUCGGAUUGCUUCUAACCUUGCUGCUGGUGCGUAAGUCUUGUCAUAGUCUAUCCCUUCUUCUUGCGUAUAUCCCUUGGCCACGAGUCUUGCUUUGUUUCUUACGACUUUUCCUUUCUCGUUCAUUUUGUUCCUGAAAACCCAUUUAGCUCUAAUAACAGAUUUACCUUUUGGUUUAGGAAUUAAUUCCCAGACAUCAUUAAUACUGAAUUGUCUGAGCUCUUCUUACAUAGCUUCAAUCCAGCUUUCAUCAGACAAAGCUUCUUCUAUGCUUUUGGGUUUUAUUUCAGAGACAAGAGCCACAGCACUAGACUCUUCGCGCCUUUUGGAUCUUGUGCGAAUUCCUUCUUUAAUGUCGCCAAUAAUGAGAUCUUUGGGAUGAUUGGACUUAUGCUUCCAGUUGCUGGUUGAAUUAUCAGGUUGAUGAUCACUUCCUUCAUUUGAAUCUUUAACAAUCAUUUGUUGCCGAUAUUUAGAAGUCUGAGCUGCUUCUUGAGAUUUAGACCUUGUAGAGUCUGGAGCAGGUUCAGAUUCUUCAAGAUGAGUCUGAAUAGAUUCAUUUUGCAUGGAAUCUUGAAAUCUGACAUUCAUUGAUUCUUCCACAGAUUGAGUCUUUUUGUUGUAGACUAUGUAGGCUUUGCUUGAGGUUGAAUAUCCAAGGAAGAUGCAUUCAUCUGACUUUUCUUCAAACUUGCCAACUCGAUCAUUUGCAUUUUUUAAUAUAAAGCAUUUACAUCCAAAUACAUGAAAAUAUGAAAUAAUAGGCUUCUUUUCUUUGAAUAGCUCAUAGGGGGUUUUUUCUAGAAUAGGCCUUAGAAAAACUCUAUUAAUAAUGUAACAUGCUGUAGAAACUGCUUCGGCCCAAAAACGUGAAGAAAUAUUACUUUCAAUUAAAAGAGUUCUAACCAUUUCUUGAAGCGACCUAUUCUUUCUUUCCACAACUCCGUUUUGCUCUGGAGUAUAUGGAGAGGAAAACACAUGCUGAAAACCAGAUUUUAUCACAGAAUUUUGUAAAAUCUUGAUUUUCAAAUUCACCUCCAUGAUCUGUUUUUAUGCUUGAAAUAACAUACCAUUUUUCAUUUUGAACCUUUUUAGCGAAUUUUUCAAAGUAAGAAAAGGUUUCAGACUUACUUGCCAGAAAAUAUACCCAAGUAAAUUGUAACUAGUCAUCCACAAUUACUAGGCAAUAUUUCUUACCUCUAAUACUCUGAGUUCUAGUUGGUCCAAAGAGAUCCAUAUGCAGAAGCUGCAGUACACGAUUAGUGGAAACUUGAUUUAUUGGUUUAAAGGAAUUUCUUACCUGUUUUCCCAAUAUGCAUGGUGUACAUAGAUCAGACUUUUGGUAUGACAGAUUGGGUAAACCACGAACAAGCUUUUUUGUUGAAAUUUUGGCUAUCUGCUUCAUAUUAACGUGCCCAAGCUUUCUGUGCCAUAGGUUUGCUUCGUCUUGAAUUGAGAUCAGACAUUGCGAUUCAUCUGGUUUCACAUCCAAGAGGUAGAUAUUUCCAUGUCUUCGACCCAUGAAUGACUGAGUAUAAUCUUUACUAGUUCCUGAACAUAUUCCUUCUUGAAAACUGAUUUUGAAACUGGUAUCGCAUAGCUGACUGAUACUGAGUAAAUUGUAGUUAAGUCAUUCCACUAAGGAAACAUUGCUGAUUGUGAGGUUUCCAAUCUUUACAGUUCCAAAUCCCACAAUUCUUCCUUUGCUAUUUCCUCCAAAUGAGACUUUUCCACCAUUUACUUGAACAAGCUUUAUGAAGCAAUUUGAAUCUCCUGUCAUAUGUCUUGAGCAUGCACUAUCCAGAUACCAUUUUACCUUUUUCUUGAUAGUGACCUGCAUUUAGAAAAGAGACUCAAGCUUUCUUUGGUACCCAUAUUUUCUUGGGUCCAUUUGUGUUAGUAUGAUAUGCAGUUUUAGCCCAUACUUUCUUAACAGGUUUCCAAACCAUAGGACAUUCUUUCUCAAAAUGAUCUAAACUAUUGCACUUAGAACAUCUGAGAGCAUUACGACCUACUGGUUUUACAAAAACCUUUUUGAAAUGAUUUUUGUAAGCAUCCCUUGAGGGUCUUUGCUUAAUUCUUUCCUUCACUUUAGGAAAAUCAAUUAAAUGAAUGGUUUUUGCUGUUAUUCCCAAACCAGAUUUAUUGAAAUAAGGUCUUUGUACUGAAAGAAUUUUCUCAAGUUUCUCAGAUCCUAUUGAAAAUCUUUUUGAAAUAUUUGAUAUGUCCUUUUUUAGAAAUUCAUUUUCUUUUAGAAGAUUAUCUUCACUUUCUUUAAGAGAAGAAACAUUUGUGUCUAAACAUUUAAUCUUUUCUUUCAAAACAUUUUCCUAUUGUUUCAAUGCAGAAUUAUCCUUUUUGAGUUUAGAAAUCCUUUUAAGAGAAGUCUUAAGACUAAAACAUAACUCAUCAAUGUAUUUAGAAACUUUAACAGGGAUUUUGAAGUUACUCACCUCGAAUUCACUGUCUGAAUCUGAGUCUGUCUCAAAGUUUGAAUCUGAAUCCGAUUGUGCCAUUAAACAUAUAUUGGCAUAAUCAUCAUCACUUUCUUCACACUCUGUAUCACUCCAGGUCUCUGCUUUGAGAGCCUUUCGAUACUUUUUAGCUUUUCCUUUCUUCUUCCUCAGAAGCGGACAGUUGGGUCUGAUGUGUCCCUUUUUCUUACAUUCAAAGCAGACUACAUCUUUGUUUGAUUCAUCAUCCUCAACAGACUUAGUCUGUUGGUUUUGAAAACUUUGUUUCUUUGGAUUGAAUCUUCUUCCUUUUCUGUUUAGCUUUCUGAAUCUUCUUAUCAUGAGAGCAAGCUCCUCAUCAUCCAUAUCAUCUUCAAAAUCUUCAAAAUCAUCAUUGGAUUUUAAUGUAAUGGAUUUCUUACCUUUAGGAUCUUCGUCUUCAUUGAUUCGCUCCACUUCAUAAGACUGAAGAGUCCCAACCAACUCAUCGACAGAUAGUGGCAUGAUUCUUUGUGUCUCUCUUAUUGAGGUCUUUAUGUGAUUCCAACCUUGGAGAGUCCAUGCAGUAGCUUGUUUACCUUCAUGGGAUCAUAAAUUGGUUGACCUUGAUUUUCAAGACCAUUCACGAUUUCUGUAAAACGACUAAACAUGUCAAUUAUAGAUUCUCCCGAUUUCAUUUUGAAGGCUUCGUAUUGACCGAGGAGAAUGUUGAUUCUGGUCUCUUUCAAUCGAUCUGUUCCUUCAUAGGUAAUAUGUAAUCUAUCCCAGACUUCUUUCGCUGUAACACAAGAAGAUAUUAUGUUAUAUUCAGUAGGUGACAAAGCACAAUAUAAAGAAUAAAUUGCUUUUGUAUCAAGAGCUUGUCUCUUGAUUAUCUCUUCCUGAGUCAUUUCACUAGACUCAACAGCUUCUUUUCCUCUCUUUGAGACAGGUGCAGCUUUAGGAAUAAUUCCCUUUUUUACAACGUCCCAGUCCAGAGGAUCCUUUGACCUUAGAAACGCCUUCAUUUUGUUUUUCCAUAUGUUGUAUUCUUUUCCAUCAAAGUAAGGUGGUUUGGUAUUGCUUUGCCCUUCUACCAACCCUGGAGCUAACAUACUAGCCAUGGAUCUUUAACUCUGAAGUAAAACACUUCAAACAAAGUGAGUACACAAGCUCUGAUACCAAUUGAGAUAGCUAGUAUAAGCACCUAGAGGGGGUGAAUAGGUGCAAAAACAAUUUCUCGUGAUAUGUGAGCAAUAUUAGACAAUGAAAAUGAGGCUCGCCUUUUUGAUAUCACAAGUAAUUAUGAUCAAAGUAAAAGAGAGUAGGGAAGAGAAAAUGAACACAAGGUUUAUAGUGGUUCGGCUUAUUUCAAGCCUAUGUCCACUCUUCCGCAUUGACAGCCCACCGCUGGAUUUCACUAUGAACAAAAGAGAUUUUACGGCAAUGUUCUCCCUUGAUUCCACAGUGUAGAUAUUCUACAACACUUCCUCAAGGUUUCUCACGAAUAUAGACUCUCUUUUGCAUACAAGAUUUCGCUCAGCAAAUGAAUUGACUAAGAACAAGGAGCUUCAGACUUUGGAAUUCUUCUAUUGUACACACCCUCGAACAACUGGAACGUCUUCCUUUUAUACUCCUUUAUGCCAUCAUACCCGUUGGCACUUACCAAAGGAAUUCCUCAAAUCUACCCGUUGGACAGAAUCAAUUAGGAAAAUCAUUCGAGUUAUUUAAGAAACAUGUCGAUAGCCCAUCAAUCAUGUUCGCCCAUACAAUCAGGAUCUCGGUUUCCAUAAGUAGAACAUUCCAAGUAUACUUCACCAAUCAUCAGAUCCUUAAUCAAUCUUGAUUUGAGUAAAGGAUUCCGUUAUGUCAUAUCCAGCCAAGAGAUCUUCAUCAGUUGAUAAGAUCAAAUCCUUAACGAAACAUCCAGUCCUAGAUAGACCUUCUUCGACAAACUAGAAACUGUCAAUGAGGAUAGACUUUGAGUCUUGAGUCUGGUAGUCCGGAGGUCUUCAGACUUUAAAUAGUAGAGUCUACAAAUCUUCAGACUAGACUGAUGGAAACGUUUUGUCAACUUCAAAACACUUCAUGAAGAUUUCUCCAACAAGUAUUUCUAUUUGUACUUCUUUCCACUCUUCCUAUCACAACUCACUAGCGAUGGAAGUAUUUCUUUUUAUUCUUCCAAUUCUGUGCUGUGUGCCUUUUGCCUUCUCCUCUUCUUGAAGUCUCCGAAUCGGAGUCACCAUAGUAAGUUAUCGCAAAUCACGUAGAGAAAGGAUAAUCUCGCGAUGAAUCUGUCUAUCUUCUCCUCGACCAUGGAAGGCAUUGCGUGGUGAGGAUGGAUCUACACGUUGUGCAUCCUGCACUUCGUGUUCGCUUGCCAGUUCCUUCACCUUCAGCCUCUCGUCUCUACCUUAGGUACAUCAUUCUAGAUAGGGGUGAGCAUCGAUCUAGGGUCAAUCUUGAACCAGCCCUAAACCGGCCCAACCCUGCUGAUCCUAAUCCGUUUCCCAGUGACAUUGGAUUGGUCUUUGGUCUUGGGAUUCCUAGACCAGCACUGUACGGGUUGGUCAUCGGUUCUGGGAGUUUAAAAUUGGUCCAACCCGAACCAACCCUAACUCUAUAUAUAUUGUAUAUCUAAUAUAUUAUUUAUAAUUUUUUAUGAAGAAAAAACCCUAAAAUAAACGGUGUCAAUAAUAUUAAACAGCUCAUUAGUGAGGAGUUCAAGUAAUUUUACACCGUUCUUUAAUAACUUAUAUUUUUAAUGCCUUUUACGGCGUCAAUAACCAUAAUUUACAAAGGAGAAAAACAUUUUUAUAAGGAAUCCUUAUGGCGUCCAAAAUGGUAUAAAAAGCUUCUCACAGCAUCUUCCUUUAGUACUUGUUCUCUUCUAUUUUAUAUGUUCUCUUAGUCUUCAAUUUGCUAAAAUCAAAAGAAACAGCUUCUCUACUUGCCACUUGACACUCGUUUUGCUCGCUUUGUGUCACUCAUGCUGCUCGUCGCUUGAUGCUCAACAAGCUUGUUGCUCUCCGCUCUUUGCUCAAUGCUCACCCCACUCGACGCUCGCCGCUCGCCUCUCUUAGCUAACCUCGCUUGUCACCAAGCCCAUUGGAUCAGUUCGGUCUCCGGUCGCCUUUUCAGGAAAUACAAUACUAAAAAUGAAAUUAAAACUUAUUGGUUGGUCCAGGGUUAACCUUGGAAUUAGACCGAACUCAUUAGGUCGGUCCGGUUAUCGAUCGUCUUUUUAGGGAGUACAAAAAAUGAACUAAAAAAAUUAUUGGUCUUGGGUUGACCUUGGAACCAGAUUGAAUCCACUAGGUCGGUCCGAUCCUCGGUCUAGAGCUCAAUAAGGUUGGUUCUUGAUACUAAAAAUUGAGAAUCAGUAUUGUGCGGAUUGUUCUUAGGGUUAGGGGGUGGACCGGCUUAACUCAGAUCAUGCUCACUCCUAAUUCUGGAUUAGAUCUAUGAACUCAUUGCCUGAUGGAGACUUUGAGAGGUUACAGUGUGCUUUAAAGCUUGAGCAACUGGUUUUCUAUUUGAGUAAUUUAUUGAUCAUCGUGGCCAUUGAUUUUGCAUAGAGACACCGAAAAGAGAAUGUUAGAUGAAGAAAAUUAGAAUGAAUAGUACUAGCUGUGUUAAUCCAUGCAUUUUCAUUUUUGCCAUCAUAUUACCGAUUUGGAAGAAAAUUAGCUGUCCUUGUCCCCCCUUCUUUCAAUCUUCAUUGUAGCGUCAAUUGACCCAGAAUGUUCAGUUUAAACAUUGCAUGACAUCUAAAUCGAUCAUUGCAUAACGCAAUCCUAUUGAAAUGUUAAAUCCCCCCCCCCCCCACAUAGAAACCUUCCCGGUAUCAAUAAUUUGCUAUCCUGACUACAGCUUAAAGAUAGAGCCAGAGAGAGAGAGAGAGAGAGAGAGAGAGAGAGUUUUUGUCCGGACAGACGGUGAUUAUACCAGAUGGGCGCCUUGCAAAGAUGACUUCAAAAAAUAUGAGAAAAUUUGUUGCCCUGCCUAGACGUUAUCGUAUUUUGCUGUUUUGGAUAGGUAUCCAAAUACUUUUCUUGCUUUUUGAUAAGUAAGUGAAUUUGAUUAGAAUAAACUGCGAAAAAAAUAAAAUUAGCUUAGAUUAAAUUCAAUAUGUAACAUGACUCAUGCUCUUUAUCGAGUAAAAAAUUGUAUGGAUUUUCACUAUUUUUCGUAAGAGAAAAGUUAAAAAUAAUUUGUAUAACCAUCAAUAAAAUAAUAAUUGACAUUAUUAUAUUAGAGAAUUCAAUUAACUAACCUUAGAAAAUGCAAUAAAUGCUAAGAAAAAGAAGGUAGCAAAGUUAAUUUCUGAGCAAGAAAAAAAAUCAUGAGUCAAUUUUUUUAUUUUUUGAAAAAAAAAAUAAAAAGGGAAGGGCGAUUGCCGAGUGGCCCUCCCCACUCUAUCAAUUGUGAUGUGUCUUGUAUGGGUACCAUGUACAUAUAUGGCAAAGGUAAGGAUGUAUUUUCUAGCUACAACUCGUAUUUGAUAUCAAUGAACUAUAUCCUGAUUAUGGACAGUUUAAUGAAUUGUUAAAUAUUAUUUUAUUGAGGGGAUCUUUGAUCUUCGGUGUAUCAUUGGGUAUGUAAUGAUGAUAAUCAACGUAUUGAGAAUCGCAAUAUAUUCUUAUUUAGUUGCUUAGGAAUUGUUUUUGAGACACUUUUAAAAUAAAUAUUUUUGAUAUUACACUUUACUGCCCCAAGUAGAAUAAUUUAGAAUACAAAAGGGCACCCUUCAAAUGAUGCAAAUAUAUUAUUGUCCAAAAAUUGUAAUUGCGAAGCUUGUUCAUAAGGAAAACUCAUUACUGAACAUUUUAUAACAAAGGUUAAUCUUGAAUGCCCUUUAUUCCUGCAAAGAAUUCAUUGUGAUAUUUGUAGAUCAAUGUAACCACCAAGUGGACCGUUUCGAUAUUUUAUGGUAUUAGUGGUGUAGAUGAUCCCAUAAUUGUCUAUUAUCUAUGCACAAUAUCACUUUUACAUGUUUACUUACGCAGAUUAUAAAACUCCGGACACAAUUCACUAAUUAUCCAAUUAAAAGCAUAAGGAUGGAUAAUGCUGGUGAAUUUACAUCAAAGAGUUUUGAUAUCUAUUGUGCUUCAUUCGAAAUCGAGGUUGAGCACCCAGUCGCAUAUGUUCAUAUCCAAAAUGGAUUGGCAGAAUCAUUGAUUAAACAUAUCCAAAUUAUUACCUGAACUCAAUUAGCCAUAAUGAAUCUCAACGAUACAGCAUGGGGUUAUGCAGUUUUGCAUGCGGCAGACCUAAUAAGAUUGCACCCCACAUCUAGUCUUUUACAAUCUCUCAUUCAAAGCAUUCUUGAUUAUGAACCAGACAUUUCACAUUUAUGCACAUUGAUUGUGCAGUAGAGGUGCCUGUAGCACAAAGAACAAAAAUGGGUUCCUAACGCCAUUUGGGCAUUUAUGUUUGUUGGGUUUAAUUCACCAUCCAUCAUUAGGUUCUUAAAACCAACUAUUGGUGAUCUUUUUACUGCCAAAUUCGUCGAUUGUCAUUUCGAUGAGACUAUGUUUUCAUCAAUUAGGACACCUACAACUCCUAUGAUUACAAAACAAAACCAGUUAAGCUUUUCUCCCGGAAUAAGAAAAAUUUAUUUCAAUUAGAUCCAAGGACUCCUAAGUGCAAAAACGAGGUGCAUCGCAUAAUCCAUUUACAGGCUAUAGCCAAUAGACUUCCUGAUACAUUUAAUGACGUUACUAAGAUAACGAAGUCUCAUAUUCCAGCUACAAAUGCUCCAACUAGGAUAGAUGUUGUCGAAGGAUAGGCUAAAAUGGAUCAAACCCCCCCCCCCACUUGAAGCGUGGUAGACCGAUAUGAUCAAAAGAUACUGUUCCUCGAAAACAAAGAUGAAAGAAUCAAGAAUCCGCUCCAGAAGAACCUGGUGUUGUGCUUGCUCCCAAAGAGCUUAUUGCCCCUAAAGAGGCACAAACUCAUGAAAGGAACACCAACCCGAGGAAUACUAAGAAUUCCAUUACAUAUUAUAAUGAGAUUUGUGAUCAAAAUGAAAUUAUCAUCGAUAAUGCUUUUGCAUUCUCAGUUGCUCAUAAAAUUAUGGAUAAUGAUUGUGAAAAAAUGAGCUUACUUUUUGUCAUAGAUAUAGAGUGAUAUAUUAGAAAUAAAAUUUUCUCCUAUGGUUUUCUCUACUAUAUUUGGUAUUUAUCUGCUUUCUUUACUCAAUCUCUCUAUUAUCUCUAUUAUAUAUUUGCAACGCAAUAUUAUACAAUACGACACAGCAUUUUUGUUUUCCUCUUGCAUUUCGUACCUCGUGCCGUAUCAAAUUCGAGUGUUCAUCGAGCGCAGUCUUUGGGUGUUUUUUUUUUUCUUUCUUUCUUUUUUAUAAAUAUUGCUAAGAGGAGAGAAUAAUGAAGGUGGAUGCAUGAAGGGGCAAUAGGAUAAAACCGCCGGUUGCACCGGUUGCUUUUGGCCUUUCUUCUUUUCUUUUUCUAAGUGUUUUGUAUGUAAAGAGAGAUACUUCGUUCCUUGUUUGACGAGUACCAGAUCUCUUCCAAUCCAAACCACCAAAAAAAUUGAAAAUAAAAAUGAGAGUUGCGAGCCUCUUUUUGCUGUUGUUUGACGCGGUAGAAACAAGCGAUGUUUCAUUAGAUAGGCAGUCAGCCUAAUAGGAGAGUUGGGGGUGGGGGGACAGUACGGUAAUGCUAAUCCCAAAUUGAUUUUAUAGUUGGGAUGCAUUUAUUUAAUGAAAAAUAAAUGAUUUGAAAAAUAUUUUCCUAAUAAUAAUUGCUUAUAUUACUUACAUCUUCCACAAGAAUAUUUAUACAUAAAUUGUUGUUGAUAAUGAAAAAUAUUUUUAAUUGACUACUUAUUUCAAGUAAUGUAAACGAUGAAUUUUUAGGGAAUAUUUCCAAAUUAGUCUUUUUUUUUUUUUACGAAAUAAAUAGAACAUUCAUGAGCCUUAAAACUUAUUUUGGGCCGGCUUGCCCCUUUGCAUAAGAUUACAUGCAUUAGUUUGGCUCGAAUUGUGCAGGGCCAUGGAUUAUGAGUCCAAUUAUAACCACUCUAAGAACACUCGACUAAUACACUAUAAAAUUCAAGAGCAAAUUUGUGUGUUUUAAUAGCGUCCGUUCUUCCAUUUGUGGGAAAUUAGUACACAUAUAUUUCAGCAUAGAUUUUUUUCGCAAAAUUGUAUCAUAUUUCAAAUAAAUCUCCCUAUCUAGAAUAAAACAAAGGCAUAAUUCUUAGUUCAAAUGAUGUGUUAAUGUAAAAUAUAAGACUUGAUAACAAUUAGGAAAUUGUUAAUUUUUGUUAUUAUAUGACGUAGGGAGAUUCAUAUGUAAUUAACGAAACUAGUGUAAAUUUGAGAGAAAAUAAUAAAAAUCUUUCAAGGAACUUGACAGGUUGAGUUGAAACAAAAUGUAAGAAUUUUCAACAAUCGCUAAUUUGCAACGUUAAAACUCAUUAAAACUAAUUCCUUUUCCUUUUUGUUGAACAAAACUUGUGUUAUUGAAUGAGGCAAAGUACAAAUUUUGGUUGAAAGAAAAAUGAGUGGAGAGUGCAAAAAAGAAGUCCUUGAAUGGAGAGGGAUCCAUUCCAAUUUAGAGUUAUGGGAUAAUUCCACUAAAAAUUAUAAAUUUCAUACUCCAUGACAUAGUUAUUUAAACUAAUUUUGUUUUACAAAAAAACCCAAACUGCAUACCCUAUGACAAUUCACCCAAAAUUAAUUUUCAUCUCACAUAAAAUCCCAAACUAAUACCUCAUGAUAUAUUUGAUGGUUUUAUUAAUAUUGUGAUGGGCCUAAGUUGGCCUGUCCGCCCAUGUUGGGCCUAAAAGCCUGGCCCACAAAAUUAGGGCCCAUGGAUGGAGGGAUACGUUGAAGAGUUGUAACUUUUGGGGGACGUCUUUUGCUGAAGGGACAUGUCUUUUGGAGAAGACGUAUUUAAGGGGAGAAAAGAAAAAAGAAAAUGCACCUUUUGGACGUACGCGCACUUUUUCUUUUCCCCUCUCCCAAAAACCAAUGUAAGUUUUCUCCCCUUUUGAACCAACAGUAGGCUCCUUGGUAGACCGGGAUCAGAUUCUUCCUCGAUCUUCAGCAUUGGUGUUUAAUAUGUGGUUAACAAGGUACGCUCGAUUACGUGGUGUGCUUUAAGAUUGGUGAUACAUGUUCUUUCUAGGCUUGUCUUCCGCAUUCGUUUCAGGGGUUCAAUUUAGUGUCGAAUCCGGUUUUUUGGGAAUUCGACAAUCCCAACAUUGGUAUCAGAGCCCUAGUUCAUGUUUUCCCGUUCCCUUUCAUGUUUAUGAAUGAUUUACUGAUUGAUUUUUCGUGAAAUUAAUCGGCCGACACCGAUCGGGGAGGAAAAACCCGACACCCGAGCACUGUUCACCCAUUUUUUUCGAUUUUUUGUAAGUCAAAAUUUUUUUUCUAACAGCGUAGGAUCGAAGCCCUGUCGAGACGAGAAAAACGAGUGGCGGAUUGACGACGGGGGCCGUCGGACGCGCCGCCACGCGCGACCGGAACGAGGAGGGGUCGUCAGCGCGUGCAACGCACGCACGAAAGCCUGGCGCAUGCCGCGCACGCGCAGAAGCCUAGCGCGUGCCGCGCACGCGCCAGCUGACUCUGCGUGACGUCAGCCCGCCCAUGUACAUGGCACGUGCCAGUCGGUUUACCCGACUAGCUGACCGAGCUAGCCGGUUCGACCUACCGCCGUUAGGGGUGUGCAUGGUCCGAGCGGGCGGUUCCCGACCUAGAACCAGGAACCGCCCGCUAAGGACCGAUUCCGAAAAAUUGGAUCCGGGAUCCACCCGUUUGUUGCAUGGAUCCACCCGGGAACCAGACCGCCGGUUCGGUCCGGUUCCCGGGUGGAUCCACGGAACCGAUCUUGACGUGAAAAAUCGACUCAAUUGGACACAAAAAAUUCAAGAAUUAGAGAAAUCUCGCUCGGCUAUUCUAUCACCAAAACAGGUAGUGCUAAGAGGGUUCGUGGGGAAGAGUUUCAGUCAUAAAAACCCCUACUCGGCUCGAAGACGGCGGCGCGAAGGCCAGUUAGAGACGAAUCGAACUUCAGUCAGCCGGGAACGAACGGUUUGAACCAAAAGGAAACUCACCGGAAAUGCUGAGGUUUGGGAACGAGAAGUCUUCUGCUCGAGGUCGGCGAUUGGCGUCGAGGAUAGGCGAGCAAUGCUCGACGUCGAUCCACUUCUCCCUCACUGUUGGUGUGGUGGUCGACGCGGAGGCGAGUUGUGGAGUCGCGGGUCACUGCUGGGCGGAGCAGAGGCUAUGGCGAGUGGUAGCCGGUGCGAGGGGGCAAACAACAGCAGUAGCCGGCACGAGGGGGCGAACACGCCGAACAGCAGUCGCGGCCCGCGGGUCACUGCUGGGCGGAGACAAUCACCGAAGAACCGAAGAAGUUGAAGAAGUCGAAGAAGUCGAAGAAGAAGAGAGACAGAGAAGAGAGACAGACAGUCACAGAACAGAAGAACCGAAGAAGUUGAAGACAUUGGACAGAGGAGAGAAGUCUCGGUUAGGGUUUGUUUUAUUUUAGUAAUAUUUUAAUAUUAAGAAGGUUCUGGUCCGGUCUGGGUGGGCGGGCGGGCGGAUCUGCCCAUGGAACCGGGAACCGGACCGGUUCCCUCAAGAACCGUCGUUUCCGAGUGGUUCCGGUCCGGUUCCGGGCGGUCCGGGCAGUUCCCGGGUAUUUUGCACACCCUUAGCCGCCGUGACUCANNNNNNNNNNNNNNNNNNNNNNNNNNNNNNNNNNNNNNNNNNNNNNNNNNNNNNNNNNNNNNNNNNNNNNNNNNNNNNNNNNNNNNNNNNNNNNNNNNNNGCUCUCUCUCCUCCCCUCCCCUCCCCCACGCCACAACCAGCUCCCCUGCCCCCUCAGUUUCUUCCUCACAAUCUUCUCAACUCUUUCGGUCGUCUCAUCGCUGUCGCCUUCGGCCCUUCCUCCUUCGCAGCAGCUGCAGCCUCGCCGCCGGCCCUCCAUCGCAGCCUCGCCUCAGUUUAUGCUCUUUCUCUCGCUGUCGCGGCCUCAUCUCCGCUUCCUCGGCCUCUUCCUCGCCUCACCUCUACCCAUCAUCGUCUUUUUCAACAAUUUCUCUCUCGGACACUCGUGUCGACAAAAGUUGACCAUGUGUCGGAUUUCUCGACCGCGUGUCCGAGCGUAUCGGACACGUCGACAUAUGUCGGACACGACAUGGAAGCCUCAACGUGUCCGUGCCUCAUAGGUUGCGACUCUCUUCUUGUUGUUUGUCAUGGUAGAAAGCGGAGAAUAGGGAUUAGAUAGUUGUUUAUUGCGAUAACAAGGGGGAAGACACCCUGUAGUUAUGCUAAUCACGUGUUGAGUGACUUAAGGCAAUUCAGAUGCUAUUCAUCGAAAGGACAUCACUGCAUUCCAUUCAAUUAUUGAGAGGACUUCCUGUACAAUUUUCCUCUUUUGACUCAAAGUUGACCAUCGCUCUCUUUUGCAUCUUCUUCCUCCUCCUCUUCCUUUUCUCAAUCAUCUCUCUGCUCAGAGUUUCACUACAGAGUCACUAUAGACCAUGGUUUCAUUCUGCAAUCUCCUUUCUUUCUUUCUUUCCGUAUCCUUCAUUUUGCUAUCGUCAUUCUCCAACUUCAUUGACGCUCAAGCUCAUGAUUAUGAUUCAAUUGCCACGCUUUCAACACGGUGGACGAAUAAUGCAACAGCCAAUCACUUCACCCGACAUAUCGAUGGAUCCAUCGUGCAGGCAAUUAUACUCCGAGGCAAAGAAGAAGUUUUGAACCUUACCUAUGCCUGCGGCUUCUACUGUAAUGGUACCUGCAACUCUUCCCUCCUUGUUGUUUGCAUGGUCCGACUUAACGAUAGUGGCUUAAUUUCUGAGUACACCAUUCAACAAAUAGUGUGGUCUGCCAAUUGAAAUAAUCCUGUAAAGAUCAGUGCGACGUUGGAGCUCACGUCUGAAGGCGAUUUGGUGUUGAAAGAUGCCAAUGAUACGAUUGCUUGAUCUACAAUCACUUCUGGAAAGUCCGUGGUAGGCUUGAACUUGACAGAUUUGGAGAACCUCGUGUUGUUUGAUAAGGACAAUGAAACUGUUUGGCAGUCUUUCGAUGAGCCAACCGACUCACUUGUCCUCGGACAAAAGUUGAGGCAGGGACAAAGAUUGAUGGCGAGUGUUUCCAAGACAAAUUGGAACAAUGACUAUAUGAUUUCGCUUUCCAUGGAUGGUGAUCUUUUACGUGCUCAAGUGGAGACUAAUCCUCCUCAAAUAUAUUUUGAGGAUAGAGGUCCAACUUGGAAUGCAAGCAUCGAGUUUCCUUAUGUUGAGUUUGUAAAUGGAAGCUUGUCUUGGAUCUUAGAUUCUACCUCAAAUUAUACGUUUAGAUUAGUCACUCCGGUAUCUUUUGCACAAUACAUGAAGCUGGGCUCGGAUGGGCAUUUAAGAGUGUAUGAUUAUGAUGAGUUCGGGAGGUGGGUAGAAGUGGACGAUCUUUUUGGAUUGGAGGACUGUCUUUGGGCCCGUUUGGUUCGGCUUUUGGGGAAUGCAUUUACCAAAAUGCAAAUACCUUUGGGUGAAUGGGAUUUUCCGAAAUGCAAAUAUCGUUUGGUAAAAUUUGCAUUUGUAAAUUACUUUUAUUAAAUUAAAAAAAAACCAAAAAAAAAUCUAUUUUUCAUUUUUUGAAAUCCGACCACCGGACCGCCGGAUCCGGCGACCGGACCGUCGGAUUUGGUGGCCGGACCGUUGGAUCCGGCGGCCGGAUGGCCGGAUCUGGCCGCCUGGGUCGCGCGACCUCAGGCGACCGUCACCUGGGGUCGCACGACCUCAGGCGACAGUCGCCGGGGUUGCGCUGGCGGCCGGAUGGCCAGAUCUGGCCGCCUGGGGUCGCGCGACCUCAGGCAACGGUCGCCGGGGUCGCGCUGGCGGCCGAAUGGCCAGAUCUAGCCGCCUGGGUCGUGCGACCUCAGGCGGCCGUCGCCUGGGGUCGCGCGACCUAGGCGACGGCCGUGCGCGACCUAGGCGACCGUCGCCUGGGGUCGCUCGACCCCAACAACUGUCGACUGCCUGAGGUCGCGCGAUCCAGGCGGCCGACCCCUGGGUCGCGAGAUCCGGACCUCGCCUGAGGUCCGGCGACCCCAGGCGACGGUCGCCGGGGUCGGGCGACCCUCAGGCGGCGGUCGCCGGCGCGCGCCAUCCCUUCGCCGGUGGUCGUCGGCUUCCGAUCAGCAGCUUGGAGAGGUUGGAGAAGAUAAACAGUAACCGAGCUACUUGCAUUCCCAGGAUGCAACUUGCCAAUGCACCCCAAGAGCUCCAUUGGGCUAAAGGUCUUUAGACUCCUUUGGAGAUGCAAUUGCAUCUUGCCAAAGUCGCGCAAAAAUACGAACCAAACGCAUUUGCAUUUUGCCAAAGGACUUUAGAGUCCAAAUGAGCAUUUGCAAUGCUGAACCAAACAGGCCCUUUAUCCGACGGUGUGUGGGCAAUAUGGAAUUUGUUCCAAUGGGCAAUGUAGUUGUCCGACUUCGAGUGCGGGGACAAGCUAUUUCCAGCUUGUAGAUGAUAGGUAGCCUAAUCUUGGGUGUUCCGAGAAUCUUCCAUUGUCUCGUGGGGCUUCACAACAACAUUUCCUGGAGCUCAAAAAUAUCGUGUAUUUCAAUUUCACUCCAAAUCUCAAGGACAUAGAUGCUUCAAGUUGUAAAGAGGCCUGCGCAAAGAAUUUUUCAUGCAAAGCAGCUAUAUUUCAGUAUGAAUCGAAUCGCACUAAUGGCAGUUGUUACUUACCAACACAGGUUUUUUCACUUAUGAAUGUUGAUGAGAUAAUGAAUUCUACUGCCUACCUUAAAGUACAAAUUAUGGCCACUGAAGCUCCUACUGCUUUGGUUGACAAUCGAACGAGCAACCGUCUCCCUAUAAUACUUGGUUCCAAUCUUGGAGCUCUAUUAGCCAUGAUGAUUUUCAUCGUAGCCAUAGGUUUGUUUGUUCAAAAGAGAGACAAUAAUCAAGCAGAGGAGGAUUACCUUGAUCAAGUACCUGGAAUGCCCACUAGAUUCACAUAUGACGAUCUAAAAACCAUCAUAGAUGAAUUCAGUAAAAAGCUUGGUGAAGGUGGUUUUGGUUCUGUUUUCGAAGGUACUCUAAGUGACGGCACAAAAGUUGCAGUGAAACGCCUUGAUGGUUUUGGGCAGGUUAAGAAAUCCUUUCUAGCUGAAGUUGAGACUAUUGGCAGCAUCCAUCAUGUGAACUUGGUAAGACUCAUGGGAUUUUGUGCUGAGAAAUCCCAUAGGCUCCUUAUUUAUGAGUACAUGUCAAAUGGGUCUCUAGAUAGAUGGAUCUUUUACAAAUCCAAUGAAUGUGUUCUCGACUGGCAACAAAGGAAGAAGAUCAUUCUCGAUAUAGCAAAAGGACUUAAUUAUCUUCAUGAAGAUUACAGACAGAAGAUAGUUCACUUAGACAUCAAACCUCAAAAUAUCCUCUUAGAUGGAAAUUUCAAUGCUAAGGUUGCUGAUUUUGGAUUAUCGAAGUUGAUAGACAAGGACCAAAGCCAAGUCUUCACAACAAUGAGAGGAACUCCUGGUUAUUUGGCCCCCGAAUGGCUGAGUGUAGCAAUCACUGAAAAGGUCGAUGUAUAUAGCUUUGGUGUGGUAAUCUUGGAGAUAGUGUGUGGGAGAAAAAUUUUCAAUCACUCUCGAGAUGAAGAAGACAUGUAUUUAUUGAGCCUUCUUAAGAGAAAGGCAGAAGAGGAACGGUUGCUGGACAUUGUGGAUAAGGCUAGUGAUGACAUGCAACUAAAUGGACCACAUGCGGUGAAUAUGAUGAGGAUUGCCGCAUGGUGCUUGCAAGGAGACUAUAUGAAGAGGCCCUCCAUGUCGAUGGUCAUCAAGGCAUUAGAGGGCAUCAUGGGAGUUCAAGAAGACUUGGAUUAUGACUUCUCUACUCAGCCUUCCACUAGUGGAGUAGUGAGAUUUGGUCAGAUGGACGUCGAAUUCAAUGCUAUUACUGCAUUGCUACCCUCAGUUCUAAGUGGUCCACGAUGAUGUAGCAAAUUUAUAAGAACAUUUCUUCCCAAUAUGUCAAGUGGCAAAACGUGCAUGCGAUUAAAUUUUUCAAACUGUGAGGACUCUAGCUUGUCAUUCUCUUUUCAAGCCCAUAAAAAGGCUUGUGACAUGAUAUUAUUUCUCGUUUUCACUUUGCCAAUUAGUGAACUUUGCUAUAACUUGGCAAAGGAUUGAGUUGGUUAGAAUAUUGCAAUUUGGUUUUAUUGCUUAUGUAGAAAUCGGUCAUGUUCAUGUUUGUUGUGUGCUAGUCUUGGGAAAGGAGGAAACUAUUGAGUCAUUUGUGUAAAAAGCCGCUGCAAGACUAGUCAAUUGCUGGUAAUGUCUUUUGGCAGUUUUACCAGUCAUGGAUGCAAAUCUAAUAUACUUUUGGGUUCCAACACUUGAUAUCCUUAGGAUUUGAUGACUCUACCUUUCAUGACUUGCUCAUUUCAAGGUUAUUGAGUUAUAUUUAGUUUAUUUUGUGAGCGCACGAUUAAAACUAAUAAAGAUGAUGGGAGAAUUCAUCACUAGUGAGUUUGGAUUUUUCCUAACGCCUCCUAAUGUAUCCUAGGUUAAUAAUCUCAACUUCCAGCUUCUUAAGGAUCCGUUGAGGUCGUUUUGAGACAUAUGUUUGUUAAGAAUAAAGAACCAAGAUGUUUGGGCAUUUCAGAUUCGACUCUCCGAUCUUUAGAUAACAUUGAUGAUCCUCAAUAACCUUGGUUUUGCCGCUGACUUUAAUCAUCUUGAUCCAAGCAUGCUGAUCCAUCAAAUUUAACCGGGGAUAAGAAGCUUGUUUGGGUCUUAUCUGGUCCCGGAGCUGCUCGCACAAUUAACGAAAGUUAAAAGCAAUUUGAUGUGGCUCCCCCGGCCAUGCCGUGGCACCUUUUGAUUGGGUCUGGCCACGGCAGACCAACAAACCCGAGCCCACAUGGAGCUUAACCAUAGGCUCGAGCUAUGUGUAACCUCUCGCAAAGUCCUCCUCCCUCUUCCCGGCACAAACUCACUAGUGACGGAACUAUUUCUUCUUCUUCUUCCAACGCCUCCUCUUCUUGAAGUCUCCGAAUCGGAGUCGCCAACUGUAAGUUAUCACGCAUUGCGCGGGGAAUCGAUAAUCUCGCGAUGAAUCUGUCAAUCUUCUCCUCGGCCAUGGAAGGCAUCGCGUGGAGGGGAUGGUUCUACACGGUGUUCAUUCUGCACUUCGUGCUCGCUUGCCAGUUCCUCCUCCUUCAGCCUCUCGUCUCUGCCCUAGGCACGUCGUUCGCUUAGAUCUGCGAACGGGUGCUGGAUGGAUAUUCUUUGAGGGGUUGUGGCGUGCUCUAAUCGUUCGCGUCUCGAGUCGCCAAUUAGAGACUGGCGAUGAAUUGGUGGAUUCUUUUGUAGGGAUCCCGUCGGGAUAUUCGAGACUAGGCAGGUGUUUGUGCAGGAAAGACGAGAUGAGAUGGACUGAAGAAUCUUGAAAUGUCCCUGCUGGAUCAAAACUCUAGUUUCGGAGGGAUACUUUUGGCUUUUACGUGAUGCGUAUGUUGUACGAUUGAUGAAUUAUUGCCAGCGUGGGGACCGGGGAGUUCUAUCUAAUUCCAGUUCAUUCUCGUCCUGAGGGCGGCGGCAUCGUGGGACUUUUCCAUCGGUUGCUUUUGGCCUCUCUUCUUUUCCCUUUUGUAGCGUUACGUAUGCAAAAAGAGAUACUUUGUUCCUUGUUCGACGAGUAGCGAGUCUCUUCCAAUCCAAACCACCAAAAGAAUAUAAAAAUAAAAAUGAGAGUUGCGAACCUCUUUCUGCUGUUUGACAGUGGUAGAAAGAAAGAAGUGAUGUUCUUUUUUUUUGUUGGGGGGUAGAAGACACCAUUCCGAUUUGAGUUUAUAGUUGAGGAGUGUUUAUUUAAUGAAAAAUAUAUGAAUGAUUUGAAAAAUAUUUUCCAAAAAAUAGUUGCUUGUAUUAUUUAUAAAAAUAGAUUAAUGAAAAACAUUUUUAUUUUCCAAGAAAAAAUUUAGACAUAAUUUGUCGUUGAUCCCUUUUUUUAGUGAAUCAAGACAGAAAAAGUUUAAAUAUUAGAAAAGGCCAAGCCACACUAAAAAAAGCCUUUGCUGUUUUAGUUAUGAGUGAAUCGAGGUUUACGUGUAAGAUUUCAACUCAGUGACUAUUUUUUUAUUUCUCUGGAUUCUCUGGAGAGCUAAGCUAUAAAGUAACCUGAUAAUGGAAUCGACAAACUUAUUACAAGUUACAUAGAGUAUAACAAAAGUUCCAAAUGCUGCUCACAAUUUCAUUCCCUGUAAAAUCGGUACAUCUAUUCUCCAUGAGAAGCACAUAGUACGUGUCCCUCCAUUAUUGGCAAAACAACCAUAAAAAAACCCCCCAGCAGAGCCAGGGUGAUCACUAUCUUUCCUUCAAGCGUCUGUGUUUACUAAUACAGAGAGAGAGAGAGAGAGAGAGAGAGAGAGAGAGAGAGAGAGAGAGAGAUUCCCAGAAUGUGGGAGCUUUGUGAACAUGGUCAACUGGACUUACUGGAUAAAAUCAUCGUCAAGCUAAGAGGAAACGCCCCUGAAAGAUUAGUUUAGCCAAAAUCUGAUGAACCGUUAGACCCAUGUUCUGAGAAGUCAUAGCUAGACAAUUGGAUAUAUCCUACAAUCAAGACCCUAUGCAUAUCCAUAGAGGGUGAUAACUAUCUCAUCAUACAACGUCAGGUCCCUUGAUUUUGAAUUAAUGAUCACACGAUGCAAAAGCCUAUUGCUCAUCGGAAACUCAAUUGGAUCUCCCAAGGCCCUCUAAUAGGGAGCAUAACGGGGAAGCAUUAUUCCACUUCUUGUUAAAGGGUUGCUAACUCCCAGUCCUCAGCACUACAGGAGAGUGUCGCCACAAUAAAUGGAACUUCCACAGGAGCGCACGCAAAUCUAAGGACCAGAGCUAGUCAGUAAAAUCUUCAAUACUCAUUGUAAUAGGCUUUCCUUCGAAUAGCAGACAGUAGGAAUGUACAACUAGAACCCUGUGGAAAAGUUGAGUCGAGUUGUGGAGGAGAUCUAUAUUGAGAGGAAAUAGGAAAGUCCUACAAUAAUAAAGAUCAAUUGAUAUCCCAGGAACCAGACGCCAUUGAAAAACAAAAGGAAGCACGGCACCAUAAAGUCUAGAAGAUGGGAUCACACAAUCAAAUUAGGUAGCUUCUUCAACCACCUGAUAAAUCAGAAAAAGGGCCAUCAUCACCAUUUGCAGUUCAGAAUCUAUAUAGCAAAGGCUAUGACUAGGCUAAAAUUAGUCAUCAACAUCUAACUAAACAAAGCCCCUCUAAAAUAACUACCAGAAGACUACAUAACCUGUUUUAUUCUGGAAAAAUGAAGAGAAGGCUACAUAACCUCUUGAGCACCUGUAUUUAUCAACUCAAACAUGACUGAAAAGGGGACUCACAUGAGAAUUUCCCAGAGAGAAGAGAGAGAGAGAGAGACACUCAUGUAGGUGGAUGCCACAGGAUCCGGCCAUCCUUAC